UUUGAUUGACUCACAAUCUCAAACCAUGACGAGCAUCUUUGUCUGUAGUAUCAAACCGCGAGGCCACCUGCCUGAGCCGCUACACUUAUCGUCGCUGUCAAGUUCCAAUCGCAUUCGCAAAGAGAAAGCUCAAUCAACAAUGGUCUACUCUCUCGUAAUUUCAUAAUUAGUCCAUUAUUUUUAGGUUAAGUUUUAUUUUGUCUCAAACAUUCUGAUUUGCAUAUACAUCCUAUCUAAUUGACCCUAGAUUUUUGAAUAUACAAUUUAGCUCUUGUUUGAAGGAGAAUCUUGUUAUUUUUUUGAACAUUUGACUCCUAAAUUGUUACAACAUUUUGUUUUUGAACCCAAAAACUCUCAAAUUUGCAUUUGUAUCCUUUAAGAUAUGCAAUAAACAAACAUAUUAGAAUCAUAAUUGAUAAGUAGACAGUCAUGCGUUAGACAUACUGGAAUCCACAAAACUGCAUUUUUCUAUUAUUUAUGUAUAUCCACAUAUACGUUGAAUUUACAUUAUCAAUGUGUACAAAAAACCGUGUGUAGACUUAAAUCCCGUAAGAGACUAAGCUACAAAAUCAAUAGAAAGUGAUAGAGAGUUUCUCAAACUGAGAACAUUGGAGCUAAUAUAGUGAGACAAGCUGCUUUCAAACCAAUAUUUUCUACAAUUUGUAAAGCCACAUUUGUUAUCUUUUCUUAUACAUAGUUUCUCAUGGACAACAAUGUCAGAAUGUAUAUGUGUGUCCACAUGUACGCUGAAUUUACAUUAUCAAUGUGUACAGAAAACCGUGUGUACACUUAAAUCCCGUAAGAGACUAAGCUACAAAAUCAAUAGAAAGUGAUCGAGAGUUUCUCAAACUGAGAACAUUGGAGCUAAUAUAGUGAGACAAGCUGCUUUCAAACCAAUAUUUUCUACAAUUUGUAAAGCCACAUUUGUUAUCUUUUCUUAUACAUAGUUUCUCGUGGACAACAAUGUCAGAAUGUAUAUGUGUGUCCACAUGUACGCUGAAUUUACAUUAUCAAUGUGUACAGAAAACCGUGUGUACACCUAAAUCCCGUAAGAGACUAAACUACAAAAUCAAUAAAAAGUGAUAGAGAGUUUCUCAAAUUGAGAACAUUGGAGCUAAUAUAAUGAGACAAGCUGCUUUCAAACCAAUAUUUUCUACAUUUGUAAAGUCACAUUUGUUAUCUUUUCUUAUACAUAGUUUUCUGUGGACAACAAUAUCAGAAUGUAUAUGUGUAUUAGAUCGAUCUGAAUGUACAAUCUCUUUCUUGAUGAGGCACUUGUAUAUUUUUUUUAAUACAUCCACCUUACACAAUGUAUACAUCAUAAUGGAUAUGUGGACACUAUCAACAAAGUGUACAUGUGUACACUAUAUAUCCAAAUGUACAUUAGUGCUCAAAAUGUUUUCUACAUUUGUACAGGCACAUUUGUAAUCUUUUGUUAUACAUCCACCUUACAUAGUUUCCCGUGGACAACAAUACCAGAAUGUAUACAUGUACUAGAUGUAUCCGAAUGUACAAUCUCUUUCUUGAUGAGCCACUUGUAUUAUUUUUUUUAAAUACAUCCACCUGACACAAUGUAUCCAUCAUAGUGUACAUGUGGACACUAUCAAUAAAGUGUACAUAUGUACAUGAUGUAUCCAAAUGUACACUAAUGCUCAAUAUUUCACAUCUACAUCAUUUUACUUAUACAUGGUACACAAGCUGAGUGAUAUCUCAUGAUUUUAAUGAGUUUUAACAUUUGCUAUUUGUUCAUUUAAGUUUCUUUUAGGACUCAUUUAGACUUAUCUCAUGAUUUUAAUGGUACACAAGGUGAGUGAUAUCUCAUGAUAUUUAACAUCUAAUGAUAUUUAACAUCUCAUAAUAUUUGCAAAUCAGAAACAUUUUAGGUAUAAACGAAAUGAAACAAAACAGCAGGGACCAAUGAUGCAAAAUCAGAAUAUUUGUUGGUCUAGAUUGUACAAUUAAAAAUAUUGGGGGUAAUUGUUAAGAAACUUGAACAGAUUAGAAGUUUGAGAUGAAUUAGAGAAUAAGCAAGAGUAAGAGGACCAUAUAUUGUAAAUAAUAAAAAGUUCACCAUUGUUGCUCCUAUCAAGCUUUCUCUCGGAUCUGCGGGUGAAGCGAUGAUGAUUCUGGCAGCCACAACUACGAUCUCUAGCAUGACGACCAUGGCGAGGAGGAGACACGUUGACUUUUAAACGUAUUGUCGUAAAUGGACCUCACAAUCGCCGUCGUCUCUAACACUUUUCUUCUUUCUCAAUUUCUCUUUCUAACAUCAGCAUCAGUAAACAAAAGAAAUGAAAAAUUGAUGGAAUAUUAAAUCCAGUUAAACUUUUCUUCGGGUCCACCACUCACUUUCUCAUUUGAAAUUCAAAUUGCAAAACGACAAAAAAUAAAAAAAAACUAAAACAACUUGAGCUCAGUUACGCUUUUUAAGGGUAAAUUAAAUCAUUUGUCAUUACUAGUUGGCAUAAACUACCUCAGUAUAAAAAAGUGUCUUAUUCUGAUAUAAAAAGUCAGAAACUGCGUAAAUCACUCUUAAAAUAAUAACAUAUAUGGCUUCAAUUCAUUUUUUAUUUUGGUUUGAAUCGGCUCAUUUCGGUUUUCCGGACAGCCCUAAAUUACUUAAUAGUCGAACCGAAAGCAAAAUUGUGCUAAACCAUCUAGGAGUAUAUAAUUGCAUAACAAAAUUCCAGUAAACCGAAAACCAAAACCAAAAUGAGGUUUGGUAAUGCCGUAAUAGUAACUGGAUCAAGGGACCCACCGGUGAAAGAUUCGCCUUUGAGUGCGUGUGAGGCAGCUACGAUUUGAUUGGUCGGAGGUGGGACCCGAGUUUCUCUUGCGUCGGAAAUCGCUGCUCUGGUUCUGUCUUUUUGUAUACUUUAUCAAAAGAAAAUAAAUUUGUAUUUCCCUUGGAAAGUGUAAACUACGCGCAAAUAACGCGUGCGGUAACAGUUCUUUUUGGCGCCCUGAAAAAAAGGGCGGGAGGACGUGAUAAGGGUAUUGCAGUAUGAUUUAAUAUUUUUCUUUGUCCUUUGCUCUUUAAUAUUAAUCGUAUUGUUUUAGAGGUUCGGUGGAGUCGAGAUUUGAGCCUGUUUCAUGAUUGCUUGAGUCAUCGCACGUGUGCGUUUAAUUCUACGGUUAAAUUAGUUUUUUUUUCUUCGAACGGUUAAAUUAGUUACCCUAAGUAGUGGUUAAAUUAGUACGUCCACUUGCCACACUCACACUCUUUACUUCUUUAGACUGAGAGGUGCUAAUUUUUGUUUUUUUUUUGCUAAAAAUGGUGCUAAUUAUGUUGUAAGGAUUAUAAUUACUGAAAUCCUCUUUGGUCGUUUUAAAAUUUUAAUAGAAAUUCAUCUUGCUCAUACUGAAUAAAUCUUUCUUUUAACUAAUAAUAUAAUACGAAACCUAGAACAAUUCAAAAUAAACUUAUGUUAUGUAGUUAUUGGGAGUUUCCUCACCAAAUUUUUACUUUAUUAUUUCACGGGUUAUAUAUAAUGUAUACUAAAUUGCACAUAUAAAUUUAUGAAAGAUCUUAUAUUACAGUCCGUGUCUGCAGCUCAGCCAGUGUAUUGACUGGUGAUGAAAGAUGGCUACAUUUAGCAUGCAUUGGUUCGAAGACAUUAUGAACUCAAUACUCUCUUCUUCUUUUGUGAACCCAAUACUUGAAACAAAUGGUUACCGAAACAAUGAAAAAUAUAUAGUAAUAAGAUUUUAUUACUAUUAUAUGUAACAUCUAUCAACCGACAACCAUGUCAAUGCAAUUGCCAAUUAAAUUUUGAUUACUACCAAAAAUAAAGUUUGAAAAACACUUCAACCACUAGAAUACCAUGAAUUAUUUUGAUAUAUUAUUUCAUUGUUGUAUCAAAAAGUACUUCAAUCACUCGAGCAUUAUAGCAAUAAAUUAACACUUUUGACGAACGAUAUAUCAAACGAACGUUACGGACGUUGAGAUGUUACGUCGAAGCGGCAAACAAAGUAUAUUAAAGAGGAUUAGGGAAUCCAAUGCUAAUAAAUCCAAAAUAAAUAAAUAAGCGAUCAGCCAUAUGAUGUUGAUUUAUAAGACACUUGUUUAAAUUUAAAAGAACAAUAAUUGAUGUCAUAUAGUAUAUUCUUUUACAAUGUGUACUUUUUGGUGAAAUUGGACAAAUAGAUGAUUGACCUUUGUUAAAGAACUGCGCUAUAACCUAAAAUCAAAACAUUUUUGAUAUACAUAGGCACAUAGCACAAUCAUCUUGUAUUAACAAAAAAGAAUUAAUCCACACAGACACAGGUAGUCAAUUACAAUAACUUUUUUAACUCUUCAGGUGUGGAUUCGUUCGUGUUAGAUGAAAGGAUGGUCUACUGGGAUAAUUAAUAUAAUCUAAUUGGUCUUUAUUCUUAAUAGUAUUUGUAACUUUCGGCACCAUUGCUUUCUUUAUAUAUGUUGCUGCAUCAACCAUUCAUAAAUCAUACUAAUAUUAUUAUUAUUUUUAAUAGCUUUUUUCUUUUACGAUCAAAUAUUAUUGUUUUAUUACAAUUUGUGAAAAUGAUUAUAAAACAGCUUUUAACAUACAACUAGAUUCUUACCCGCCCUAAAGGGCGGAGAUUGAUUUGUCAAAUUUUAAUUUUAAUAUAUGUUAUAUAUAAUAUGUGCAUAUAAUAUUAUAUAUUUUUGUGUACUAUAUAUAUAUAUAUAUAUAUAUUUGUUUGAGUUUUUUGAUAAAUUUUUUAUUCAAGAUAGUUAUAGUAGAUUUGAUCAAAUCUAAUAUUAUUAUGAAUUAAAUAAUGAUAUAAUGAUCCACGUUCUUAUAGUAGAUUUGAUCAAAGUUAAUUUAAAAAUAUAAAUAUGGGUUCAUAUAAAUUAUGAUUUGAUCAAAUCAAAUAUAUCUUCGUAUCUAGAUGAUAAUCCACAUUUAUAUAUCACCUUUACAUACUGUGAUAUGAUGCAGGUGAAAAGUAAAUAUAUGAAGGUAAAGUUAUAUGAACAUAAGCAUACACGGUCUUUGUAUUGAAGAGAUAUUAUAAAUGAGUCGGACAUUUUUUCUCUUAUGUUUGGAAUGAUUUGGAACUCGUUGAUUUAUGAGUGGUUCAGUUUUUUAUGAUCUAAUUAUAUUAAGAGAUAACCAAAAAUAUUUUAAUUAUGUUAUUGGUUAAGUUCAAUCUUUCUAGGUUGGUAAAGAUUUGGUUUAAUUUAAGUUGAUAGGUUGCAUUUUAUAGGAGAAGUGAUAUAUUCUAGUAACAAUUAUGAAAGAGUCCAAAAUCUAAAUGACAACUUUAAGUAGUAGAUAAAAACCAAUCCCUAAAUUAAUAGAUUAGAUGUAUUUAUAUUAUCUUCAAAAUAAAAAAUGUAUAUUUAAUAGAGUAUGUGGAACCACAUUUAAGCAAAAAAAAAUUGGAACCACAACAAUGAACAUCUUUACUUACUUAUAUCAUGAUCCAUAUUUUCAAUAAAUUUACUUUCGUUAUUUUGUAAAAAUCACAUCUUUUAAUGAUAUAACAAAAGUUAUGUUUUGGUCAAAAUAGCUGAAGAACUUCUUAAUCUUUUAAUUUAAUAUAUAAAAAAUUAUAUUAUCCAUUCUGUGAAUCUGAAUAUGUUGUUCGUUUAGACAAUAUUUUCGUCAGGAUAAUGCCAUUUUCUACACUUUUAAAUCUUGAUCUCAUGCUUUACUUUUUGGACAAAAAAUCACACAUCUAUAAAAUUAAUCAAUCAGAUGACCUUAACAAAAAAAAACGCUGCAGAGAAAACCAAUUCCCUAGACACAUUUCACAUUUCACUAUUAUUUUCCUCCCUAAAAAAACCUUUUCCAUUGUCCUUUUUCAGUUUUUCACUUUUAAGAUUAAAAUUCACUUUCUUCUCUUCCUCUUCAUCGUUUCCCUCCUUUCACUCUCAACCAGAGAUUCCUUCGAUCAUCUUCCCAAACAUGGGAAGAUACAUAAAGAAGUCAAAGAUCGCCGGCGGAGCCCUUCCAGCAAAAGAUAUCUCUCACCAAACCGCUUCCAGUUUUCGCACCAGAGCCGCCAAGAACCUCGCCCUGCAGCGUCUCCGAUCUCAUUCCACCCCGCCGUGCGUCGACGCAGACUCAUUUCGCUACCUCCAGCUCCGGAGCCGCCGUCUCGUUAAGCUUCCGUUACUCGCCGACACAAGAAAACAACAGCAGAAACAGCUUAUAAACAGUGUCGGUAAACGACAGACGACCAACCCUAGAGCUAACUCGGUGUUGUCGUCAGAGCCGACGAAUCUGGAAGAAGACUGUGGUAGCAACUUGGUGAACUCUGGGUCUGGUUGUAGUUUUGGAGAGAAAGGUCUCGAGUUCGAAUCUGGAGACAGGUAAACUUUAGUGUUACACAGACUGAGAGAUGAUAAUUUGAGUUCUUGAAUAUGAUUUUUUUAUAUUUUUCGUAUACAGAGAAACGACGCCGUGUAGCUUGAAAAGAGACUCAGAAGAAGCUAUACAAAGUGUGCCUUCUCAUGAGAUUGAAGACUUCUUUGCAUUCGCAGAGCAGCAACAACAGAGAUUCUUCACUGAAAAGUAAAAAUUCACCUCUUGACAUUUUAAUCACGAGUUUUAGAGUUUCAGAGUCUGUUAUCUGAUUUUGGGAGUUUUGCAGGUACAACUUUGACAUAGUGUCGGAGAAUCCAUUGCCAGGACGUUACGAAUGGAUCAAAGUGGUGCCAUGAACUGGUUUGGCUGUAACAUGAUGUUGUAAAGUUGUGUGAUUCAUUAGGAAGAUCUGUGUUGGAACAGAGGCAAUGAAAAAUUGCACACAGACUAACAAAGACUAGCCUACUAAAAACCCCAAACAUAAGGUUUUUUUUUAAGGGGCUUGGGGUUAACUUGUUAGUUAAGGUAAUAAUAAUGUAAUGUUUUUUUUUGGAUUAAUGGUAAUAAUGUAAUGUUUUAAUCUCUCUAAUUUGCAAGAAAUAAAAAUAUAAAUUUAAAUAUUUACUGGCUAGAUAUGUUUCUAUUCUCUGUAUCAUUCCCUUAUAGUUUUCUCUUGUUAUUUGUCUGAGUUUGUGGUUCUGCAUCUGAUUUUACUUCACAAGUCAUUCACUUUGGCUUCAAGUUGCAAAAGUGGCAAACUCUUCUGAACAAAAAUGUUCGUCACUCACAGGCUUUCCAAUCUCUCUUCCUUGUUGAUACUGUCCUUUCCGUAUAUAACGAGACUGAAUUUGGGUGUUUCACACUUGCGUAGUUGUACUAACUCACAGAAGGUUGCAGGCUUGUGAAUGAAAUUGGAGGAGCAUAUCAAUCAUACAUGUAAUAUGAAGCCCCUUUUAUUAAAAAUAAAAAUAAAUACGAUACAGAUAUGUGUAUACAGUGCUUUUCAACACUUCAUGUUCGUUGAUAUAUUCAGUAGACAAUUAUCCAAAACUAUAGUUAAAUAACUACCCAACUAUACAGACAACUAUCUAAAUAGGUAACUAAAUGAAUAAGUCAACUUAGAUAAUUAAAUAUAGGGCAAUUGUUAAUAAUAGCACCUUUUGAAGUUUUUUUUUUUUUUUUGUCACCAACACCUUUUGAAGUUUAUGUCUCAAAAAUAGCACUAGAAGGAGAAAGUCACAAAAAUGAAAUUCAUUAAAGUGUAAAAUAUCCCUAAUACCAUUGGUUUAAAAUUAAAUAAACAAACAAAAAUAAAUAAAAAUAAAUAAAAUAAAAAUAAAAAAAAUAAAAAUAAAAAAAAAUAAAAAUUUAUAGUUUCAGAUUAUAUGUUUUCAGAUUCGAAAUUUUUAUAAUUUUUUUUUUGAAUUUUUUUUUUUUUUGAAAUUUUUUUUUUGAAAUUUUUUUUAUUUUAUUUUCAAAUUUUCUUUUUAUAAUUUAAAAAUACUUUUUGAAACUGUUUUUAAAAUUUUUAUUUUAGUAUUUAUUUUUUAUAAAAUUUUAAACCCUAAUUCCAAAACCUCACCCCUUAACUCUAAACCCUAAGGUUUGGAUUAAUUAACCCAAGGGGUAUAAGUGUAUAUUUACCUCUUUAAUGAAACCUAUUUUUGUGACUUUGAGCCUUGAGUGCUACUUUGGGAACAAAAACUUGGUUUAGUGCUAUUCUAGUCUUUUUCUCUUAAAUAUAUAUCUAAAUAAUUAUCUUACUAUCUUAGAUAUGUAGACAAUUAUCUAAAUAACUAUCCAGUUAUUUUAGAUAUAUAGUUGUACAUUUUAUAGCUGACAAAAAAAAGUUGUACAUUUUAUAAACUUAUUAUGUAGCUAAAUAAACUCCAAUAAUACUUCACAUUUUAUAUUCUAACUUGACAAGGCUUGCAACAAUAUUCUAACUUAUCUUACUGUCUUAGAUAUGUAGACAAUUAUCUAAAUAACUAUCCAGUUCUUUUCGAUAUAUAGUUGUACAUUUUAUAGCUGACAAAAAAAAAGUUGUACAUUUUAUAAACUUUUUUUUUUUCCAUCUGAGAUUUAUUAAGUGGGUCAAAGCCCAAAAGACUGAGCCCAACAACUUUACAAAAAAGCCCAAACAGCAAACGGGCCAACGCAACAAAGAGAAAAGCCCAACCAAACGGGCGAGCCAAAGAAAAACAGCUAUGGGCCGUCGGCCCAUAGAGUAAACCGUCGAGGAGAGAGGGACACGUCACCCACCGCGUGUACGUUCGCCCGGCGAUGCAUGAACACGUGUCAAGAUGAAGGUCCGCUGUCGUCCACCGGAAGCAAGGAGGCGGCGCAUCAGAACUCCGCCGAUAGCAGAGAUCAACGAUGAAACGGCUGCUACAAGAGCCAGCUUCAAAGAAACCCAAUCGCCCACCGGAUCUACACUUCACAAAGGAAACACAAUCAUCUACAAUCGAACUAUCCAUCGCCGGCUUUCCAUCUCAGGGAAAGAACAACCCGACUAGGAAAGAAAGAGAGACGAUUGGAUGGUGAUAGCCAGAAGAAGAGUAGAUCGACGAAAACGGGAAACAACCCGAAGUAAGCCGCCGUCACAUGAAGGUAUAUGCGACGCGGAGACAAAAGCCGGCCGAUCUUCGCCGGAGGAGAAGGCGAGAACGCCGGAGACAAAAUCCGGUCGGAUGAAACCGAAACCGGAACCAAGAGGUCGAUCUCUCUCACUCUCAAACGAUCUUUGCCUCUCUGAAAGAUAGAAAUUUGGUAAGAGAGAAAAAAUUGUCGAGAGAGAAUUCUCUCUCUAGGAGAGGAGAGAGAUCUCUUUUUUUGUACAUUUUAUAAACUUAUUAUUUAGUUAAAUAAACUCAAUAAUACUUCACAUUUUAUAUUCUAACCUGACAAGGCUUGCAACAAUAUGCUUCCGUCUCUCUCUCUCUCUUCUUUAUUGGUACUGCGCUCACUGUCUCGCUUUCUGGACCUUUUUCAUCAAAAGUCCAAGUUAGCAGCUGAGUUUUUGUUUCUUGGUUUAUGCAAGUAUGUGUCCUCUUUGGAUCAUUUGUUCAUCGGAUGAACCAAUACAUUAAAUAAUGAUGUCGAUUCCUAUUACUACAUAUGCGUUUAACACCACUGUGCAUCUUGUCUGAUAUUAGUAAUAUCACAUGAUCAUUUUACAGCUCUAAAAGAUGUGUAGCCAGUAGCCUUCUUGGUUUUGUCACCCUUAAACAUAUGGAAAUACUAUUUUACCGAUCAAGCGCUAGUCAUUUCUGUAUUUUUUUGGUUUUUGGUUAUGAAUCCUUCUUAUAUCCAACAACAAUGUGAAGCAAAAAUCAUGUCAUGGGAAGAAAAAAACUACACUUUUAGAAUGAUUUUAGCCCUUGGAUUACAACAAGAGUUUACUAGUCCGCAAGUUACUACACCUGUUAUGUUCUCUCCUAAACUUGGCUACACAACGCGUACACAAGAUACGUUAAACUUCAUGGAGUUCCAUUACUCAACCUUUCCCUCGUUUCUGACAUUUCAACUUCAUGGUUUCAGAAGUUUCCAUGGCCUAUCCUCCUGGUUUUAGCCUGUUAGCACCUCAUAGCUAAAAUAAUUUCAUAUUUCCAUGGUGCCAUAUCUGCAUCUCACGUGUUCCUUACACAUUUCAUCACGUUGUUUUCACCUUUGAUAGUUACCAGAGCCGGGCCUUGCUAGAAGCAAAUGAAGCAACCGUUUGCGGUCACCAAUUUAUUAACUAUGUAACCGGCCACAAAAUUCAUAAAAUUGAUGAUGGCCUAAUGGUUAGUUGUGCACCCUAGCUAUGUGAGAGGCUAGGAUCGAAUCUGCAUUAUGUACAUAAUUUUUUUUUCAAUUUUUUCAGCCAUUUUUUUGUUCUGCGCUUGCGGCCUUCAAAAAUCUAGGACCGGCACUGAUAGUUACGCAGCAAUUCAUACUAACUUAUCUCAAUUUCAUCACGUUGUUUUCACCUUUGAUAGUUACGCAGCAAUUCAUACUAACCCAUCUCAAUAGAUACUUCGCAUGAUACUUUGCAGCAAGAUUCUUCAUAUGUUGGAAAUAUAUUCUAUAAAACUGUUGUUCCAUUAAGAUACGUGGGCACAACUUAAACCUUAGCUGUGAGAGCUCCUACAAUACCAAAACCAAUCUUGUUUAAAGCAGCUUCCAUAAGAUAUAACCCCAAAGUUCCUAAUUGACCACAAGUAAAGCAAAAUCAUCUUGUUGAACAUAAAAACAUGAGCAAGCAUGCCGUUUUUAGUAACAUACAAGUGGAGAGACACUUUGAAGUAUCUAUAAAAUUCAACACGUACACAUUGAUCUGAAUUUGAUGCAAGUGUUACUAGUGGACCAAGAACAAUCAUACAACAUGUUGUAAAUGUAAUCAAAGUCUCACGUUUAGAUAAAUAAUGUCUAGUAUAUAAAAAAAUGUCCAACUUUGAUUAAUGCGAAACAUUUUGGAAAAAAAAACCAAAUCAAAUUAAUAUGUACUCUGUUUGUUGGAUCUAGAUCGAAAAAUAUCAUACUAAUUGGACAUGAAAGAGUUGGAUAUGGACUUAAAAAAGCCUAACACAACAAAAUUUACAAAACACUUAAAUCAAACUCUGACCAAUGAAGUAACAACCAAUGAACUGCAAGUUAGCCAUUUUCAAGAAACAUAGCCUCAGGAGAUUACAACCAAAUCAAUACCAAGAAAAGCUUUGAAUCCCAAUACUUCGUUAUUAAUCACUUAAAAUCUCUAACUUUCAUCUCAAAACAAAAGUCCAAAGAAAACAAAAAGAGCCUUUAUUGGGCCUAAACUAUCACAAUAAAAGCCCAAUAAGAUUAGGUUAAAGAGAAACCCUAAUUUAACAAGGGAGCCCUCAUAUAAAGCCGCCAUUGUUUUCAACUCGAAACCUUUCUCGAAGAACCAACUCGAAUCGAGAGGAAGAAAGAUGGUGUCUGGGUCAGGGUUAUGCUCGAAGCGUGUCGUGGUCGACGCAAGGCACCACAUGCUGGGCCGUCUAGCUUCGAUCAUCGCCAAGGAGUUGCUCAACGGACAGAGAGUCGUUGUGGUCAGAUGCGAAGAGAUUUGCCUGUCAGGUGGAUUGGUUCGUCAGAAGAUGAAGUACAUGAGGUUCAUGAGGAAACGCAUGAACACUAAGCCUUCUCACGGUCCCAUCCACUUCAGGGCUCCCUCUAAGAUCUUCUGGCGUACCGUUCGUGGGUUCGUUAUCUAAUCUCAUUUCAUCUUAACUUUGAGCUUGUUGGGUGUUUGUAUCAAUGUCUUAGGUUGCAGAAAGUGUCUUCCUUUCACUCUUUGUGUAAUUUGUAUUUGUCAGUAAACAUCUGUCUGAAAAUGUUAUUGAAAAUGAAGAUCCAAAUUAUACAAUUGGGUGUUUGUAUCAAUAUCUGCAAUUAUACUAAGGAAUGUAUUGGGUUACAGAAAGUGUCAGCCUUUCAAGCUUUGUGGAGUUUGUAUUUUUCAGACAUCAUCUGUCUGGAAAUGUAUUGCUGUAGUUUUGGAAGUUUAUGUGAGAAGAUGUUUUUUGAAAAUGUUUUGUUGUUGGUUGUGGCAGGAUGAUUCCACACAAGACCAAGCGUGGAGCUGCUGCUCUUGCACGCUUGAAGGUGUUUGAAGGAGUCCCACCUCCUUACGACAAGGUCAAGAGAAUGGUUAUUCCUGAUGCUCUCAAGUAAUCAUCCUUUUCUACUCUUCUUCACUUUUGUUGUAUGGAAUGUCCGGUGUCUUUCAACUGAUUUCAUUCCUUUUCUUUUGUUGUUGCUUAGGGUUUUGAGGCUCCAGGCUGGUCACAAGUACUGCUUGUUGGGACGUCUGUCUUCUGAGGUUGGCUGGAACCACUACGAUACCAUUAAGGUUUGUCUUUUUUUCUUAGUUAUUUAGUUUUGGGAAAAAACCAUUUUCAUUUACUACUAUUGUUUUCAAAUAUAUAAUAAGCUUUGCUGAUAAACCAAAUAUAGUUGCUCUGUCAAUUGAAUUUCAUUUCACAUCGUUUUCAUUAUUUGAAUUCUAAGUUGAUUAUGUAUUAAAAAGAAGAUAUGUCUUAACUUUAAUCUUAGGAAUACGAUUGUACUGGGAUUUACCUUCUGGUAUGUUGUUUUUGCAGGAGCUUGAGGUCAAAAGAAAGGAGAGGUCACAGGCUGUGUAUGAGCGUAAGAAGCAGCUCAGCAAGCUCAGGACUAAGGCCGAAAAGGUUGCAGAGGAGAAGCUUGGUUCGCAGCUCGAUGUUCUUGCACCCAUCAAGUACUGAGAAUUGGCAUCUGUCUUUUGGCUUAAUACUUAAUUUGGUUCUCCUCUCGAUUCUACCUUUGAAUUUUGUUUCUGCUUUUGGUAGCUUGUAAACUUGAAGAUUGGAAUGAGACUUUUUGGUUUUUUGAUUGAACAAUCUGUUAUGGUUCUUGGUUCUUUUCUCUAAGAUCAAUGGUUAAGUUUGAAAAUUUUAAAUGAGAAAAAUAUGUACCUCUGAAUUCUACACUCUUGUAUGCUCGCAAUCCUAGCCGCACAGUGUGUAGUUCUGCUCUAUGUUACAUGGAAACGGAAGUGGGUACGUGGAAGCGGAAGCGUAAGAAAGCGCAGAAGCGAGAUUUUUUAAAAUAUUAGGAAGCGGGUACGUAUUGGAAGCGUAUAUUUAUAUAUAAAUAUAUAUAUAUAUAUAUGUAAAUUUUUUUAAUAAUUAGGACUAAAAUUAUAUGAUUUAAAUUUGAAAUAAAACAUUUAUUCAUUUAUAAUAAUUUUGAAAUGAUUUUAUAUUAAAACUGUAAAAAUACACAUAAAUUAUGUUUACAAAAAAUAUUAUAUUAAUUAUUUUUAAUACUUCAUAAAUAAUUGACACAAUAUGUUUCAAUAUGUGCUAUAUCUUUAAUAAAAAUCUCAAUGCAUAAAGAUAAUUUAUAGUAUUAUUUUUGAUAUUUAUAUAUAUUUAUAAUUCAAUAUUCAUUACUGUUAUUUUUUUUUUAUAUAGAUUAAAACUAUGGUUUUAUAUUUUAUUGAUAUACAUUGUAUUUUUAACGAAAAUGGAAGCGUGAUUCCAAAACAGAAUCAUAAGCUUCCAACAGGUUUUUAAAGAGAAUAUUUUAGAAACGUUUUGGAAGCGAGAUUCCGCAAGUUUCCACAAGGUUCCGAUUCCGAUUCCGGUUCUGAAGCGGGAAGCGGACGUCCGAUGAAGCUUCUGUGCAACGUAGGUUCUGCUACUCACUUUACUAUCGGAUCGAUUUCAUCGGACUAGCCCCAUGACUUUCAGGCAAUGCACAAUGAAGUGUUGCUCUUUAACAAAACAAAAGAUAACAUUGUUCUGGUCUAAUCUAGAUAUGCAUAUGUAAUCAUGGGAGCUUGGAAACAUAUGGUCUCUUUUGUUUGCUUUCCCAUUCAUAACCAACCAUAAAAAGAAGAACAACAAUAAUACAUUGAAAUUAAACUAACCUAAACCCACAAGAGUAGAAAUUAGAAAGGAACAAACAAAAAGAAAAGGCUUCUAAAGGCCCUAAAUAUAUGCCACAUGAUGAGUAAACAAAAUAAAAAGAGUGGGUGGAAGAGCAGACUUCUAUACAAAACAUUAUAAACUGUUUCUACUCUCCCAAACAAAGAGAUGAGAAGCAAGAAGGGACUUCACUCUAUGAUGCGGUGGUAAUUUACAUACAUAAUACCUUUCUCUCUUGUGUCCAAAAGAUGUCAAAAAGACCAUCAUGAAUCUACUAUCUAUCCACCUUUCCCCGUUUAUCUUCCUCUGCCCUCAUCGAAUAAGCAAACUCAACCUGCCGAGUUUACAAUCUACUUUGGCUGGACCAAGUUAUACACCAUCUCAGCCAAAUCCAAUGCCACAGUGAGGACCCGACUCAGUACAAACCAGUUCUGAGUACGAGGAUAACCCUUUGCAGGAUUUACAACUACUCGAGGUUCUAGGUUUUUCAUAUGAUGUGCCUCUCAUUCCACUUUUGUCUCUGGAGGUUUGGGAGACGGUAGUUUUUGUGCUUCUUCUAGUUGAGGAGGCUGAUCAUCAGAAGCAAGAUGUUUCUGAUUUUGUACAGUCAGCUGCUCUGGCAACUUUGGUCGUCUCUGUUCUACUGAAGGUAGGGAUGGCUGUCUCUGUAUUACGCCCUUGAGCUCCUGACAAGGUACGCCAGCAGGCAAAUGCUUCUGCGCUAGUCCUUGGUUAGGUGAUGUUACCGGAUUACUACAAGCUGAAUCUGUAUUAGAACUGUUUACUACUUUAGGAGCAGCGCUUUGCACAGAGGCGGCAUUUGUUGGAGGUUCCAAUGCAUUUGGAGAAGGCACAGCAGUAGAACCAACUGCUUUAACUUUUUUCGAAUCAUCACUUACUUGAGGCAUACCCUUGCUCGUACUCAUACUACUAGUGGUAUUGGUGACAGACUGCGGAACACGUGGCACAAACUCAGCUUGGGACUUCCUUGAUAAAUCAGAGUUCCCUAGAUGAUUCUGAUGAACAAUUCGCUGAGCUGUUGGCUGCACCUGACGCUGCUUUUGGUGUAGCAAUAAAUGCUGAUGGUUGGAAGGUGCAACUGCUGGUGAAAUUGACGGACUAGAGACCGCAGGUGAGCUCUGGCCUUGAAUGCAAUCGUCUGAAGGUAACUGUACUUGUUGUUGUUGUUGGGACGGAGAUGUAGCUCCAGGAAAUGCUUUUGGCAGUUGCUGAUCAGACCUAACUGGAACCACUGCCUCUCCCUUUUCGGUAGCCUGACUUGAUGGGGGCAUGGUGAAACCAUUAAGGUGUGACUGAUCAACAGUGAUGUUCUGAUGGAUCAUGUUUCCCCUACCCAUCCCCUUUGAUUGUUUACUCGGCUGUUGACCUUGCGUUGGCUGUCGCUGGUGUGGAUGUUGUCUUCCAGAUUGCUGCUGGUGUUGCCGCUGCCGUUGUUUUCCGGAUUGAUUGUUUAUACCAGGAGCACCAGACUGAGGAUUCCUACCAAGACCAUGAAGCGGCAACUGAGAUUUUUGAGGGUUCUGUUGGGCCAUAGCACUAUUAGGAGAGGUAGACACUGGAGGGAUUGGUAAUGGCUGAGGCGAAACAGGUGGUUGAGUCUGAGGACAUUGUUGUGGAGGAGAAACAGAAGUUCCCUGAGAUUGUUGUUGUCCAUGUGGCACAGUAGUAUUAGAUGCUGCAACCUGCUGCUGCUGCAUAUACCUCUGGUGCAUUUGCCUUUGACGGAGAGCAAAUCCGUCUUGCUGUGCCCCAGUGGCAUGACUUAGGCCUGGGCUCUGGAGCUGAGGAUUAUGCGAGUUGCCUAGUACAUGAGACUGCUGGGAAACAUGGCCUGCGUACGACUGAACAGAAGUUGUCUGGUUGUUGGUAAAUCCAGAACUCAAACUACCGAAAGCUGGGAUCCCUUGACUGUUCCCUUGAGCAGCCUGCAUCAGAAACUCAGGCAUAUCAGUUUCAUCAUCUCUGGAUUGUUCGUAAUGAUGUCAAACAGUUUCAAAAGUCAAUCGAGCAGCGGUAGAAAAAAAAAUCAGAAGCGCUGUAAAUCUACAAACUAAAACCAAAGUGGCAGAAAAAUUUCCGGGUGGUGAAGUAAAUGCUACGUUCCCUCAUGAAGUAAUCAUAAAAUAUUACUGUAACAGUUACCAUAGCAGUAAAUAAAAGCCAGGUAGCUUACCCGCAUCAUAUGCUGAACGGCUUCACGAGGCGGCCUGACCAUGGAGUUUCUUGGAGAAGCUCCUCUUCCAGAGUUAAUAUUACCAGUAUUUGGAAUUCCCACCAAACUAGAGGACAGCAUGCUAACGUUAUUUGGCACUGCUGGUGAGCCUAUGCCUUGAAAGCCAGACCUUGACAUGGGUGUGCCCCUGUUCGUUCCACUUACACCCACAGUGUUUACACCAGGAACCACGCGAUGUCCCAAUCCUGAGACAGCUCCAUGAGUUGAUAAAGAAUUCUGCUGCAGGUUAUUACCCGAUAUCUGAUUAUGUCGUUGGAGUCGGUGUUGUUCAUCAAGUGGUAAAGACCCUCUAGGAACGUUGAAUCUACCAUCCCUAAAAAAGGAAAAAAAAAAUAUAAACAACCAAAGAAGUAACAAUCCUCGAGUACAUUGAGCGGAGAUGCAGAAACGUGUGCAUUCACCCAAACCACUGUCUACCUUGGAGAAGCGCUGUGUAGACCAGGUGUGGUUGGUAAAUUGUUACCCGGAACCACACCAGAUGAUCCAGAAGUGGAUGGAGUGGCUCCAGAAGAAGGGAGCACUGGCGUCCCUUGAUUCAACAUUGGAAGACCCAGAUGUGAACCUGGACUUUCAAGUGAAAAUAAAUCUUGACCUGAAGUUGACGCAUCACAGAGAUCAAGGGGCCUUCAUCCAGAGAGUAGCAAAAUAUUAGAAUCGCGGAAGUAGUUGUCAGGAAAUUAUGUACAACGGAAACACCAAAACUUACGUUAGAACACCUCCAUUCAGAUUAUUCGGGAAUACUUGAGAAAGAGCCAUGACUUGUGAAUUGUGAACUGGUACUAUCUGCUUUGAAUCCCGACCAUCAUUCUUGAAGAUCGAUGAAACAGUAGAAAACAGACAGAAUUAGCAACAAGAAAACAAAUUACCUUAGAAUUCUUAAUGACUUCAGCAAAUGUUAGCCAGGUUUACAGAUAUGCUUUGAAACAUGCCUUCUACAGCAUAGACUCUGAGUCUCUGACUAUAAAAAGAGAAGACAGACUAUCUUCUCAAAUUCUAUAUCUAAGGAUUUCUAUAUGCAAAAGCGUUUUCCAUCUCCAGUGCAGCUUAAAAAACUAAUUUCGUGGAAACCCUGAGAAGAUUCUGGACCUAUAAGUUCAGACCCAUCCAGUAAUCUUCCAACAAGAGACUCAGAAACUAAAACUUGACCGAUCACUAUUGCUACACAGCCGUAGAAAUAAAAAUGGAAAAGCAAAUGCAGAAAGAAAGUCCACUAGUUUCAGGUUACAAGCUUGCAAACAGUAACAAAGUACUAGGUGAACCAACCUGUGUCUUUCUACAGUGUAACUUCUUCCCAAUUAAACAAAUCUUCUCAAAAUGGGAUUUUAGGGUAUCUUCCUCCAUUGGCCCUUGCAGUCGCUGAAACAACUGUCUUGCACUUCCCUGAAUAUACAAACAUACAAUGGGUAUUUGAAUUAAUCUAAACAUAGUGGACACUUUAUUCAGCGUUUCAGAGCUAAGGAAAAAACCUUCGGGAUGCCAGGCAAAGUGGAUGGAUAAGACUGUGAAGUCCCCGAGUCUUCAGCACUAUCAGCCCCAUCACUCGCAGUCUUGUCCAUCAGAAUCUUAUGCCGCUCCUUGCACUCAAUCGGAUUACGAUAUAUACACUGGAAAAAAAAAGGAACCAAUAGUCAGAUCAAAUCAGUCAGUAACGAAUCCCACAUGUUCACUAGAAAAGAAACAAAAAGUGAAAUCAAUAGAAGAAGCCCAUAAUUUUUCAAAAUAACAUGCAUUUACCUUAAUUUUGAGAGUGCUAUUCAUUGCAUCACUAAUGAGCUCCCAGUUAGGGCCCAUGUCAUGCACCAAGACAACAAGCGCCUAAAUGGUGGAAAAUAAUUAGAUAUUCAUAGAGCAAGCUAACAGUAUAUCGAUGUUAAGGAAGAUGACAAAUAGAACACCUGAUCCUCAAAUAGUGACCACGUAGUUCCAGAGCCAUGCUGGCUGGAAGAAAUCUGCGUAAAUCCAAAUUUCAAGUUAAAAAAGUCUUGAAAUAAAGCGACAGGAGGAGUUAGCAAAACUUCAACAGCAUAUACCUUGAGGCCUUUUAUUUUUCUGGCCCUAUCACGACUUCCAAUAAAUUUGAUAGAUUUGUUGGAGUUGGACAUAUUGCUCAUCUGGGAAGCUGCCGGAGAAGGAACUGAUCCAGUGAGACCCAUGGCCCCAUCAAAAUUGUUCUCAACCAAUUGCUUGGUGGUCUUUUGCUUCUUUGCGUGAUGACCGUACAGACCUUAUACGAUACAACCAAAAUAUGUCAGAAUUAAAAACAAGGCAUUGAGGCAUAAAAAGGGAAUAUGUCGAUAAAGCAGCAAACUUAUGCAAGUUUCCAGAAACAGUUGAAUUAAUCCAAUUACAACCUUCCACUCUAGGUUUAUAACUAGUUAACUACACAGUAUCCAGCUUUUUAUUUUUAUAGUUACAAUGCAUCAGAGAGUAAAAACGAAGUUGCAAAUAAUACCAUUCGUAUCGAAAUGAUUCUCUGGUCGCUUCUUCCAGUGGUCCUUCUGCCAAAAUAAGGACAAAUUAGAACCUUUUAUGGGAAGUCCAUUACUAGUACUGGUACAGGAUACAUAUUUGCCAACUAUCCUAACUUAAAGAUCUAAUUACAAAAAAUAUGAAAAACGGAAGCAAAUAAUAAAUUUGUAAACAUUUCAAUCCCAAGAAUAGGCUACAAACAUCAAACCAAUCCAACAUGCAGCAAAAUUUUCAUUUUAGCAAAAGCUAGUCAAGCAUUAACAUCCAUUAAAACACACCACCUGAAGUUCAGGCAUACUUUUCCUAAACAUUUGUUCAUAAGAUUUUACCAAUGAAAUCACCUGUUCAGCAUGGACUGAUGAAUCGAGAUGCCAGGUUUGGUCAUAAGCAGACCCCUGCAACAAAUGAAAUUGAAAUUAUGCAAUGUAUGGUAAAACUAAUAGCAACUAUUUCUUAGCCAAAAAAGUAAGAGAUGCGCAAACUGCAACCUACCAGAUGAAUCUUCUUCUUCUUUUUAGGUUUUCCUGACGUUUCAGCCAUGUCAUAAGGUAGCUGCUUCUCAAAGGUACCACUUGAUUCAACCUGUGUGCCUUUUUGAAAUGCUGAUCCACCAGGCAAACUACUUUGCUCAUCCUGAAAAGAACUAGUAUCCCCACUAGAUGCAUCUGUCUUUGACGGCACUGGUAAGCUCCCAGCAGUAGCAUAUCCAAAAGAACCCACAAUCCUCGGCCUGGAAGCAGUGCGCACGCGCGUCGGAACUGAGCCGGCAUUUAUAUUACUACCAGGCCUUUUCGCCAUCAAAUUGGAUGAGUUAGACCCACCUGUGUAGUUUACAUAAUCAGCUCCAAGAUCAUAAGACCGGGCAGAAUGCGACUUCAUCAAAUUCUUUCUUUUUUUGUGGCUCAAAUUAAAUGAUUUGCUGCACUCGAAAGCUCUAGGAAGAUAAUAGGCACUCGUUUCUCCUUCAUCCUCAUCAAGCGCUGUGACAUCGUAUUCUAUAUCUACAGUGGAGAAAAAAAGUCAGCAAAUUAUUAACUAACAGGUGAAGCUUAACCAACCAAUAAUUGUUCAUACCUCCAGCAGCAUCAUAGCCUGAUGUAUCAACCUCCUCCUUCAUGCUGUUUCCAUACUUCUGGGAACAAAUUAAUACUGUUAAAUAUCUUGGGAUACCAGAUUUAAUUUUCAGGAAAAUGUGAAAUCAAGAUUACAACAUGAGAGCUCCUAGCACAGAACAAUCUAAAAUACCUCACAGCGUGCGAGAUGGGUCUCAAUAGAUAUUUGGUACACCUUCAUUGCACCCGAUGGAACUGAAUAAAAUAGGCUUUCCUGCACAGUAACAAAGCUCAAUCAGCUAUAUUAUAGAGCUAUCCUGAGCAAUAUUUUCAACUGAGACUGCAGAAAAGUUAACAAAAUUUCAUACUUCUGUUAGCUGAUGAUCAACAAGAGAUACAUCCAAUAUUUCUGGGUCACACAUGUGGUCGGGUGUCGAUGGUGCAGCUGAAUGAUAGGGAACAGAAGAGUUGUUAUACUUCAAGAAUCUACUUGCAUACUCCCUGACACCCGGAACAAAACUUUUUCUGCCAGUAUCACAAUUAGAUUCUUGGCACGUCUCCUGCAGAUAGGCACGGUAAUUACAAUGCAAUAUACCAUUAAGUUUACAAAAUAAUAACAUAGAAAGCAAAAGAACCAGAGACUCCUGGAGGUAAAAAUGGAAGACAAUUUAAGCAGAUAAGAAAGAUCCGACUGAUAAUAAAACGAAGGAUUUAUCAGUAGAAUUGCGUUGCUUACGGUGUAGACAGAAACUUCAAUCUAACUACUGUGUAUGCAUGUGUUUAUAUAUGCAUAAUUCUGAUCUUUAAAAAAAAAAAAACGGGAAGAGCCACAUGAUCACCAUUGCCAUCAAAAACCACAAAAGAGGUCUGUGAGUGAAAUACCUUAUUAUUUCCCAAGUUUGUCUCCUCCAGCUCCCCAGGAACCUCCACAGAACUCCAGAAUUCCAAGAUAGCAUUAGAUAGGAUUGAAGCUAUAUUUUUCAGCUUUCUGAACUGAAUUUCUUUCUCCAAUCUCAACUGAGAAGUCAAAGCAACUCGAUGGCAAAUUUGUGCGGCAGCAGUCAUCUUCCAAAGCCGCUCCUAGAAGACGAAAAGAAAAAGGUAAGAAUAAAGGAACAUGCAAUAUCAAUGAAAAAUGUUCCGCAAACAUGUGGACAAGCUCAUUUAUGCAUAGGAACGUCCAGAUGCUACUGGAAACAAACAGAACAACAAGCCACAGAAUGCAGCAAUUUCCACGCAGCUAUAUAGAAUUUUAAUCAGAAAGCUGAUUCAACUAGACCAUACCUGCGCAAAAUCAUUUGCCAGCCAUGCCAUUUCUUCGAGGACAAAAUCCCAUUGACAUUUCUCACGAACCUCCAGUGGUACAGUACCACAAGAUAACUCGGCAAUUCUUCUUCUCUUUAACUGUUAGUGUAUUAUGUCAGACAUAAAAAGAUGAAUAGGUAUAUAAGUAACUCAGAAAACUCAACAGCUUAAGAUCAUGAUAAUCAAGCCAAGUUGAAAAAGAAAACCUGUAUAAUUCGUGCCUCCUCAAGAAUAGAGUCUUCCUUCACUUUAUCUAACACCUUUGAGCCUUCAUCUGAGCUAGGCUGAUGUUUUAAUGCUUCAACGUCAGUUCCUGACAAUACAUUAUUACCAACCACGCUGGAAUUUGCGUCUACAGAUGCCUGAGGUAUUGCAGGGUGCAAGGAGCUACUAGGAUUGUUAGCUAAAACACUACCACCUUUCUUGUCAUUCUCAGUGUCAGAAUAUUUCUCUUCAUUUUGUAGCUCAGGUGUACUUCUGUAGUUUUCAUUUUCAGUUUUAACCGAAUUCAUGUCCAUUUCACGCGUAGGACUGCACUCGCCAGUAAUGGUGGUAGAUCGACCUGUCUCAUCCUCAAUCAUCAGUUCACCAACUGUAUGAUUAAGCAACCCCUCUACUCUUGAAGCCUUCUGCACAGAGCUUUUAUCUGAGUCCAGUUUGUCCACUCUGUAAAAAUCUCUUUCAGUAUCUACAUCUACUUCUAAGUUGUUAGCAUGAGAAGACUCUAACCCUUUUGUCCCUGCAGCUCCUCUAUCUGUCAAACUUUCUUUUUCUCCGGUAGAAUCUCCUUGGGUAUAAUUAUUUUUCUGGCCAGCUAUUGCUGCAGCUUUGGGAGAACCAAUCUCUGUACUAUUCAAAACCAGGUCUGCCUUUUUCCCAGCCUCUUCAAAAGGCAAAUCUGCUGAGGUUUUUCUACAUGUAAUGUCUGCUCCAUCUUUCAUCAGACUAGUUCUGGAUCCAGCAGCACUCUCUCGUACGAUAGGUUCACCAUCCACCUUGGUAUUAAGCAGAUUGCUAGGAGCUACAUUUGUCGGAACAAUGGUACCAUUUGAAUUUCCAAAUACUGGACAAGACACAGAGGUUGUUUGCUUAUCCUUUUGAUUGGCUGCGUCAGGAAUAAAACCCUUUCCGUCCACUGAUCCUCUGCGAGCAGAGAGAGACAUUGCAAGACCACCACGGUUCUGAACUAAAUCCACAGAACUUGACCGUGCUGGAUCCCGAUUUAUUUUUGUUCUGUUCCUCCGAGCAUACGGUCGAAAGAUUGCAGAAUCCUCUGUUUCUUUGGUGUUCUGGUUCGUGUUCGCUUUGGAAGACCGUUCUGACUCGGACGUCCUGUUUUGCCUAUUAGGAUAUUUCGAAUUGUUUUCUACUUCAACCGACUUGUUUCCAGAAUCAAACAGUAAAAGAUUAUCCGCCGUAUUGGGUUCAGAAACUGUAGGAACUGCGGGUCUACCACUACUCUCCGCGGAGUCUCCAUGUGGUGAGGCAGUCAUAGCAAAACUAUCCUUGACUUCACUGUAGGGUUUAUACGUUAAAAAUGAUGAGUCAAUCCAUAACAUAUAAUAAGAAACCAUAACAAAAAGGAACGUACCUGUUUAGAAAAUGCUCUGCUUGCUGAUCUGUGAGUGAUGUAGACUGGAAGCUAAGCGAAGUUGCAACACCAAACUUGAAAUCCAAGGGAUUACCUCCCUGAAGCAGAUAGAAGAGUAAAAUAAGUUUCCCCAAAGGAAAGAGAAGAGAGAAACAGCAAAGAUGUAAUCAUACUUUCUCAAGAAACUCCAGUUCUCUCCUCCUUUCUUCCCGGACAUCAUACUCUUGCCUGUUAGAAACAAGCGUCUUCGUUACACGCUGGAAAUGAUUGACAGUUGUAGAAAAUGUAGAGGUGUCUCAAACUGAAAUUACCUUAGCUCGGCUUGAGCCUUCUCAAUAGCAGUGGGAGACGUUUUGAGACCAAUACCACCACCACCAUCACCUCCACUAUCGAUAACUCCUCCCAUGGAAUCAACCUCAGCAUUUACUAGAACAUAUCCAUGCAUCACCACCUUGGAUGCCCCAUUUAUUCAAAUACCUUAACUGAAAAAAAACUAACAAACAUAUAAAGAUGCUUUCAGAUAAUCAUUCGCUUCCAGCAUAACGAAGAUCACGCCAUUAAAUAUAAAAGACAGACUCAGUAGUAGAUAACAAUGUUGCAUAAACUAUUAAAUGAUCUGCUGAGCUAGCUAAUGAAGUGCCCACGAACACUGUUGCACAUUUGGAAGCUAAAAGCUUCGGAAAGACGACUUGAAGAAGAGUGAAGGACCUGAAUUUUGACGUAAGGCAAAAAGCUAGGGCACAGAACUCGCUCGGGCAAUCACCAAUCUAAAAUUAGCUUCUCUCUCUCCUAGGGUUCCCCUGAAGAAUGAACAGAGCCUUUGUUUAAGCUUCAAUUCGAAGAAGAAAUCGAUUUCUCAGGGAAACAAGAAGCUUCUCCAUGAAUUUCCUCUUUUCAAUUUUGGUUUCCCUCUCGGGAGAAUUUUUUUUUUUUUUGGGUUGUUCUUGCUGAUGUUUUUUUUCUUCUCGGUCUCUCUCUCUCUCUCUCCUCGAAGCAGUAUGCGACUCUCUCUCUCUCUCCCUCUCUCUCUUCAACUUCGAGUUAUGGGCCUGGGCUUUUGACAGACUCGUGCAAUAAUAAAUAACUUGCUGUUUACAAAACAAAUCAUUCAACUUACCCAUUUGAGUAGCACUAAAAAAGUCAACAUAAUUAAAUGAAUGGGGUAACUAAGGAUUUGACUGGUUUAAACGCAGUGGUUGCGGUUACGGAAGUUUGUGGAUGCGAGCAGUUGUAGUUUCUAACGGUUUUAAGAGAUUUGUACAACUGGUACUGCAGUUAAAAAUUGGUACAUUUGCGGGUGACUUAUGACUGGUUAACUACCAAAUGCGGUAACAGUCAAAUAAUAAAUUAACAAUAUUUACAUUUAAUAUAAUUAUAAAAAUAUCAAAAAUAAGAAAAUUAUAAUAAAUAUAAAAUUUAUAUUUAGAAAGUUAUAAUUUUAAUUUUUGAAAAUUUAUUGAAAUUGUUUUUAUUAUAAAAUUUUAUAAUAUUAAUUAAAACAUAAUAGAUAUAUUUUAAUAAUUUCAUAAUUUCAGUUUUAAAAUUUUUUAUUAAAUAUUUUUAUUUUUGUAUAUAUAUUGUUUUAAAAAAAAGAAAAAAAAUUACCAUUCCGUAACCGCAAACGCUAGCUGAAGCCGGCUUUUGAAUUUAUGAGAUUCAGAGCGGUUUGAAGCGGUUUAGAGUAGGCCUGGGCGUUCGGGUCUUCGGGUCGGGUUCGGGCCGGUUCUUUUCGGGUCCGGGUCUUUCGGGUCCUAAAUAUUUAGACCCAAUAGGUACUUAGAAAUUUUCGGUUCGGGUUCGGGUCGGUUCUUUUCGGGUCCGGAUCGGUUCGGGUCUAUAAUUAAAAUACCCAUAAAAUAUCCAUAAUUUUUCGGGUCCAUAUCGGGUCCGGGUCGGGUUCGGGUACUUAGGAUCUAAAAAAGACAUGACAUACCCAAUUCUAUCAAAUUUAGUUAAUAUUUGUCAUAUAUAUCUAAAAUUUUACAAAAUAACCUAAAUGAAACUAUUAAUAAUUAACAUAAAACAUUUUUAAACUCUAAAUUUUACAUUUUAAAGCUUUAUAUUACUUAAACAAUAUUACAAAAAAAUAACAAAUGUUGUUAACAAAAGAUAUUUCAACUAAAUCAUAAAAUAAUAUAUAUAAAAUAGAACACAAAAACAUUAUAGUUUUAGAUAUACAUGUUUCUAAGUCGGGUACAAAUCGGUUCUUAUCGGGUCGGGUCUAUUCGGGUCGGUUCUUUUCGGGUCCGGGUCUAUUCGGAUCGGUUCCUUUCGGUUCCAGGUCCAUUCGGGUACAAAAAAAUUAGACCCAAAAGGUACUUAUAAAUUUUCGGUUCGGGUCCGGGUCGGGUAUUUUUGGGUCGGUUCCGGUUCGGGUCUUCGGGUCCAGGUUAAAAUGCCCAGGCCUAGUUUAGAGCGAUUUGAGUGAUUGUUACAAACCGCCGACAACCGCUACCAACCGCAAAAGCUGCGUUUGCGGAUAUUAGCGGGAAAACCAGUCGCCUCCUAAGUAGUCAAUUCUGUGAACAAAGUUACUUUCAUUUAAUUUAAUGUUACAAAAAAAAAAAAAAAAGUUACAUUACUUUUGGUUAAUGAAGAUACACACCGGUUAUGUAUCAAAACCGAGAGCAUCCGGUUAGGUAAUUUAUUACCCAAAAGUAGGCCCAACAACGAGAAGUUUCCUUUCAUUUUUCUUACCACCGGAGGAGAAGUAGUUCGUGGAAACGCCAGUAACGAACGAGAUCUAGCACGGACCGACGAGGACCCGUAGUGUGGUGUAGAGAAAGGAGACGAGCUUUCACUGAACCCCCCCUAGAAGAAAGAAGGAUUCAGCAUCGAUCGAUCGAAGAAGAUGAACAUUUUCAGAUUAGCAGGUGAUAUGACUCACCUCGCCAGUGUCCUCGUCUUGCUCCUCAAGAUCCACACCAUCAAAUCCUGCGCUGGUAUCUCCCUUUUCCUUCACCUUUACGUUUUUGUUCCAAAAUUGACGUUGACCAAAUGAUUCGAUUCGAUUCGAUUCGAUUCUGUAUACGGUCAGUUUCGAUUGUAGAAAUGACGGAUCCAAUUCGAGUUUCAGGAGAGAUUGCUCUCAAAAUGAAAUCGAUUCAUUAGGUUUAUGAUAAUUUUUGUGUGCAGGUGUGUCAUUGAAGACUCAAGAACUCUACGCAAUCGUCUUCGCUACGCGUUAUUUGGAUAUUCUCACGAGCUUUGUCUCUGUGUACAACACCUUCAUGAAGUUGGUCUUCUUAGGAAGCUCCUUCUCGAUUGUUUGGUACAUGAGGUAUCAUAAGGCUGUCCAGAGGACUUACGACAGGGAGCAAGAUACCUUUCGCCAUUGGUUCCUCGUGCUUCCUUGCCUUCUCUUAGCUCUUCUCAUUCACGAAAAGUUUACCUUUCUUGAGGUUUGUUUGUUUCUGCUCUUGUUAAAGAAGCUGCAGUUUUUGUGUAAUGGGUUAUCUGCUUUACAAUGUAUCAGGUACUGUGGACGUUUUCGUUGUACUUGGAGGCUGUUGCUAUAUUACCUCAGCUUGUCUUGCUUCAAAGGACUAGAAACAUUGAUAACUUGACUGGGCAGUACAUAUUUCUCCUUGGGUACAGUCUCAUCUCAUAAGCUUGCUUUCUUUGUAAAGUGCUAUUGCUUCUUCUUUAGCUUAUCUUGAUUUGUGUUCUCUAUUGUUGUCAUCUUCUUGCAGGGGGUACAGGGGAUUGUACAUCCUAAACUGGAUCUACCGUUACUUCACUGAGCCACACUUUGUUCACUGGAUAAGUACGACUACCUUAACCUUUCCUCACUAUUUUACAUGCACAUGGGCAUUUAUGUGUAUCCCUAUUUUAAUUAUGCUUUGUGAAUCUGACAUGUGAACUGAAACUGUGUGAUAACGAUAUGAUGCAGCAUGGAUCGCGGGGCUUGUUCAGACAUUGCUCUAUGCCGACUUCUUCUAUUACUAUUUCCUAAGGUAAAACACAUUUAACUCAUCUUCUCCUCUUGUUCCUAACUUAGUUAUUCCUUAACUCUAAUCCUCUGCCUUUGACUCCUCUUUCUCGGUUUUGUAUGUUUGCAGCUGGAAGAACAACAAAAAGCUCCAGUUGCCAGCUUGAUUUCUCAAUUUGCGAUGCUCGGAAACCCUUCGGAGAUUCAGUUUGGUGCCUGGAUACAAUAUCUGCCGGAAAGUUUACUAGUUUACUCUGUUGGUAGUUAGUGGAUGAGACGAGCAUAGAUUAUAUGUAAACUCCAGCGAUCUAACUUGUUACACUUUUUUGAACUUUUUCGUGUCUCAGCUUUUGUUAAGUGUUACUAAAAUAUUUCGACAGGACAAAUCUUGCAAGUAUAACUAGUCUACUGUUUCCAUAUACAAAAUCAUUAUGUUCUUACUUCUUAGUUCUUACCCAUAGUUGAUCGAACUAGCAUAUAUUAGCUAUUGUAGGUGAGAGAAAUUAAUUGAUAACUACAUCUUGAAAAACAAGAAACAGAGAACGUGAUGGGCAGGGGUUAACGAGAAUUGACGUGUGGGAGAGAUGCAAUGAGAAUUUAAAUUCAUUCUUAUCACUAUUAUCUCUCCUUCGUAUCUUUCAUGUUUUCCUAUAUUGUUCCAGCUUGUAUAUGUGCAAUAUAUAGUACCUCAAAGAAAAAUUAAACCAAGAUGAUAUAUAUGAUAAUAGUUGCUUUUCUAACUAUACUUUCAAAAACGUAUGUGAAGCCGGAAGCAAUUCUACGAGGAAUACCAUCAGAUAUAAUGCAAAACAAGAUUAUAUUGCAAAGGUGUUUCCACAAAAAAAGGCAAAACAAGCUUAUCUUAAUUGAAAUAUUUAUAUGAGAAUGACGUAUGCGAUUUUUAUAUAGAGAAUAUCAGUCUAAUGUGUUUCCUUCACGACUCCAUCUUCAUUAACAAGUCAAAUUAACCUUUCUCUAUUAGCUAGAUUCAAUUUUGUCCUCCUUAGAGAUAAAAGUAAGUUUCACAAUAGUAUCAGAUAUAUCUGCAUCCAAAUGGAUAUUUGAUUUUAAGAAAUUGAGAGAUGAAUGAAGGAAAUCAAUUCACGAUAAACAAAAACAAGUGUGUUGAUAUAGUUAAUAGAUACGAAUGUGACAUUUCAUUCAAUCUCAACUGAUAAGAGUAUAAAUCAAUAAAAAAAUUAAAAUUUAUUAUACAAUUUCGAAAUUGAACAAAUGAAUAUUUUUUUAACGAACAAAUGAAUCUUAAGAAUAGAAAAAACACUAUACAGUUUGAAUCAUAAGUAACAUAAAAUGACUUAAUAUAAAAGUACUAUAUAUGGGCAGAGGUGACUAUAUAUGAACAUGUCGGAGGACAUAACUAAGUCCAUGCAUGGCCAUACGACCACGCCCGUGGCCAGCAAAAUGGCGUUAUUAGACUGGGCAAGGCGGCCCGUGGCCUCCGGGGAUGUGUGUGCAGCUUGAAGGAUCGGAAGGAGGCAGAUCACCUCUUUGUAGAAACUGUAAAUUGCCAAGACGUUCUUUUGGUAAAAACCUAAACGCUUCGUUUGCCGGAAGGUAGAUCCCCAUUAGUAGAAGAAACAUUAAUGAAAGUAUCAAUGCACGACUUGUUUUCAUGGUUAUCUGAAGAAUAAUAGAAGAGGUGUAUGACUUGAAUAAAAGAGAUGGAUUUGUAUUUUUAUUUAAAAUCCUUAUUUACGCAGAUAAGAUAGAACCUGAACUAUUUGAUGAUGAUAUUUGUUGUGGCGAUGGUGGUAUUUAUAGUGGGAAAAUUUUUUUUUGAAAUAACAAUGGUGGCGAUUGUUGAACUUUGUUGACAUUUUAUCUCGUGGAAAUAAGAGAAUGCCUUUUCUUACGUGGACUCGAAUCUUAAUCUAUGUUUUUCAAAUAAACUAAUAGCAGGAAAAACAAGGAUUUGGUUCCAGUCAAGUUUAAAAACUUGUAAGAACCGGUUAGGAACAUCAGUCAACUUUGUUUAACGACUGUAAGAACUAAGAGCGCAAGAUAGUCAACUUUGUUUAAAUUAAAUAUCAAUUAAAUAUUUAAUAUUAUAUACACCGAUGUAUUAGAUAGAAGACAUAGAACUUUGAAUAAAUGUGGUAUCUAAGAGCAUGAGCAUUGGUGAACCCCACUUAGGGGUUCACCAAAAUUUUUUAAUAUUUUUUUGUGGGUCCAUGAACAGUUAUGAACCCGAAUUUGUUGUUUUCUGCAUUAGUGAACCUGAAGAAGGAGUUCAUAGGAAUAAAAUAAUAAUAUUUUUUAAUUUUUAAAAAAAAUUUAAGAUUAUUCAGAAUACAUGAAUACAAUAUUAAAAUAUAUUAUAAAAUUUAUGAAAACAUUUUAUUCAACCUAUGUUUUAGUUUUGGAGUUUAAGUUUUGGUUUUGAGAUAUGUUUUAAUAUUUUGGUAUGUGUUUUCAGAUGUAGAAAAGGUAUGUUAGAGUUUUGGAGUUUAUGUUGUUUCUUAACUUAAAUUCAAUUCAUAGAAACAUUUUGUUCGAUGAUCAGUCUACGCAUUCAACAAAGCAAUUAAGUUCGAGAAUGUUUAACUUAGGAUAAAAGUUCACAUAGAAAAACCAUUCAAGUUUUACAAACCGAAAUACAUAAGUUGAUAAGUUGCUAAUGAAACAAAAAGAAACAAGUUCAGAUGAUAGAGAGGAAAGACCGCAAAAGAGCCAUCUAAUUUCGUGAGGUAGAAGCAAUGCUACCUGUAGAAGAAGAGAACACAAGUUAACGCAGAAGCAAAGUAGUAACAUUGAAGUUAUAGACAACACAAACAAGUCAAAUGAGAAGACUUACCAUCGAUUCUGCUGAAGUGCUUGAUCAGUAGUUCAGUACACUCCUUCCUUUCCGGACAUACACACAGUAAUGGAGUUGUCGUCCCGUCUCCAACCACGUUGAACACAAACAAAUCUCCGAUGGUGCAUCUGUUAUCACGACAGAACUUUCUCCACCCUCUGUUGAUGUAAUAUGCGCCGUCUGAUUCGCUAAAUCCGAAGCGCGCAGUCCAUGACUUUCCCUCCUUGUUGACAAGUUUGACCUCUUUGCAUUGUUGGUUCAAAGCACCACACCUCAUAGCUUCCACAGGAAGAAACUACAAACACAUACAUAACAUCAGCCAAGAAGCAGUACUAGAAACAAAUAAAUAACUAAAUUUUACUCACCAUUUUGUCGUCCUUUUGAUUUGUAGCAGUAACCUCAGCCAAGAAGCAGUAGUCGUAUGAGAAAGUAGGAGCAUCAUCCGCGUCGGCUUCUUCCUUAACGAUGUGAGGAUGUGUAUACUGAAUGUCACAACAGCUAGGACCAAAAGGUGUCACAUGAAAGACCAUGUCUCCUUCGUGUUUGAAGAUGACAAUGUCACCGAUUCGAAGAUCAUGUGCUUCGGUCAACCUUCGUGUUUGAAGAUGACAAUGUCACCGAUUUGAAAUUUCACAGAAACUAACCCUAAUGAAACGAGCAUGCCGAUUUACAUCAAUUAAUCGAAAACCCUCUAUCGAUUUUGAAACCCUCAAACAAAAAAUCCCCAAAUCGAUUUAAAACCGAAACACAAAAAGAUGGAGAGGAGGUGGAGAAUUCUACCGUUCAACUCAAUACUCACCUAAGAGGUGGAGAAGAGAAACCAGAGUGGAUUUGCUGGAGAAUACCGCCGGAGAUGGAGGUCGCACAGAGAAUCGCCUCAGAGAGAAAAAAACCCUAGCUUUUACGGAGAUGAGAGAAAUGAAUCAAGACGCCGAGACCCUUCUUUCUCUCUCGCCAACGCGGAAAGGAGAAGCCACUGAGAGGAGGACACGUGGCGUGAACCCGCCCCUUACGAGUUCACCCGUAAGGCCCGGUUCGGCGAAACAAACCCUUUUUUUAUGUGUUUUUAAUCAAUUGGGCCUAUGAACUCGAGCCCGUGAACCCCGCAUGAUACCUCAAUGCGCAUGGUCUAACCUAUACUAAAAGGAGAAUAUCCUCCACUCUAAACCUAUCCACGUCAGUUGAUAUAUUCAGCCAAUCAAAGAGUAAUAUUCUGCUACGUCAUACAAGGUUUCAAAUCGACUAAUAUAAAACCGGGCCAGAUGUCUGGGCCACUAAUAAUAUCCAUUGCUAAUAUGAAGCCCAUCUCAGUAAUACCAAAUCUCCGAUAAAAACCAUUGUCGUGGCUUUUUUCUAGACUCUUCUUCUUCUUCUUCGCUGUGUGAACGCUCACGGUCCAGAUCCUCCUCUCAAUUGAUGAUUCUGAGAAACGUCUGCAACUAUGACAUUCAAUCAACUACGACCAGUUCUUGAGCUUCAAUUCAUCGAUACAAUUUUUCUAGGCUCUCUCUUUCUGCCGUCCAGUUUUCUCUUGGAGAUGUCAAAUCUGUACCCUCCGUGGAGAUUUCCUUUAAUCUUGCUAGAGAUUUACUGGUAAAUUUUCUCACCUGGGUCAUUUGGUUUAAUGAUCUAGAACAGGUUUUGGGCAAGCGUAAAAUUUUCCGUUGUUAAUUUUUUCUCAGGUGAUUUGGCAAGGAAGAGCCAAAGACUCGCGGUUAACAGAUGAGAGCUAAGAAACAGAGGAUGUCGACCAUUGAGAUCAGAAGAGAUUGAUUCAUUCCUUUUACCUCCAGGUUGCUCCUAGAUAUGUCACGUUAUACUUUACCAGAUCUUUUGCUCUCGAUGCAGGGUAGACAUCUCUUAGUUAUACUACUUUUUCAAAAAAAAAGUGUCCUUUGUUAAUGUAGAGAUAUUACUGGUCUUAGAUUUGGGUGUCGUAGGGUCUUGAAGAAAACAACAAGGGCUGAAGCAUUAAGCAUAGAAACAAGGUGUUAUUGUAUAUUUCUUCAACUCUAUGACUAUGUUCUGUACUGAACGAUAUUGUAUUCGAAAGGUCUGACUUUUCUAAAAAAAUGUAUCUUGGCGUACAAGAACCUGUGUGUUUGUACAUGCUGAGCAUUCUAUUGACUCGUCUGUUUAAUUAUUUUAGAUUGGAUCAAUUGACAAUCAUACUUUUAUUUUUGAAUUUCAGUUUAGAAUUAGUUUUUUUUUGUCAUCGACGUAAACGACUCAAUCAAGACUCUCUGCUAACCAAACUGAUGUAAACAAAAUAAGACGGUUAACUUCGAGCACCAUUUGCAAAAUUGUCCGUUCUUGUAUUCUAAAUUUAAAAUUAAUUAUAAUAUAAAAUACUAUGAUCCAUGUAAUUGACUUAGACCAUGAUUGACUUUAAUGUUUUAAAUGGAGUUCUUAGUUUCGGCUAAGAGACAGUUCUUAGUUUUUUUUUAUAUUUUAAUUAAGAAAAAUUAAAAACCGUCUCUUAAAUAAAAUAUAUAAGAGUCGUUUUUUAGUCGAAAAGUAUAAAAAAAGUCAAAUCAUGAUGCUCUUAUAUUAUUUAAAGUAGUUUUGUUUCUAUAUGACUUGAUAGAACCUUAACUAAUUGGUGAUGAUAUUUUAAUACAUAAAAAAUAUAACCUGAAUUAAUUUAUGAUGAGAUUUGUUGCGGCCAUGGUGGUAUUUAUAGAGGAAAAAGAUUUUGAAAUAUAAUGUUGGCGAUUGUUGAAUUUUGUUGACAUUUAUUUCGUGUAUAUAAGAGAUGCAGUUUCGGACGUAGGCUCGAUUGUUAUCUGUUUUCGAAAAUUAAUUAAUAGCACGAAAGAUGACGAUUUGGGCCCGGUUAACUUUAAAGACUGCAAGAGCCGGAGAGGAUAUCAGUCAACUUUGUUUAAAUCGAAUCUCAAUUAAAUAUAAUUUUACACCGACGUGUUAGAUGGAACUUUGAAUAAGUGUAAUUGUUUGGUCAAUUUCUAUGAAUGAAAAGAACUAAAGUAAGUGUUGCUCAAAGUUGUACAAUUUUGAUUUGUUUUUCCAUAAAAAUGCUCACAAAUGUUUGGUUUCAACUUUCAAGUACUGCACUUGAAAUAGUAUUUCAAUAACUUACAAAUUUAUUUUAUGACUGAAAGAUGUGCUUUACAAUGAACUAAAACAGUAACUUUGCAAAAUAAAGGUAUGAUUAAUGUAUAUGUAAAAAACUAAUGCUCAUAAAAUUAUAUGUAAAUAAAAUUUGACAUUCAAAUAAAAUACUCCUUAUGUUCCCGAAAAAAAGAUUUUAUAGAGUAUUCACGUAUAUUAAGAAUAUAAUAAAUAUUUAUAAUUAAAUUUAUUGUUUAUUUCACUAUACAUUUUCUAAUAACUAUCAACCAAUAAUAUUUAAUCAAUUCAAAUAUUCUUAAUUAAUCUUUUUUAAAAAUAUACAAUUUAACAACAUUAACUACUAAAAAUAUUUUAAAAUUCUAGAAAAUAUAUUAUUUUGAAAUAAAAAAUAACUAUAGAAAAUCAUACUUUUGAGCACGGAGGAAGUAGAUCAAAAUAUAUUGAAAGAUAUACAAUACACCAAAAAGUGAAUGAUCUGAGAAUUUAUAUAGCAAAGCUACGAGUAUAUUUACUAAAAUUCUUACUUGUAACAGUUUCCAAAGAGAUGAAAAUAUGAACUAAUCUUCUAGGAUCAUUAAAAACUCAUGUAUUCAAUAAAAUUUUGAGAUGAUUUGUAUUAUAACGAUAAAUUCAUUGUUAUUCAGUUAUUAAUUUUGUAAAAUUGUGAAUUUUAAGAUUAUUCUAUUAUUUUAGAGUAUUUUGGUAGAGUUUUUAUUAGUUACAAAAAUAAAAAUCCAAAUAUCCUAGUUUAUACAAAAUUCCAAAUAUGUUAAUACAUUAUAAUGAAUUUUUUUUGUCAUAAUGAAAUUUUAAUUUCCUAAAAUCAUUUAAAAGUUUAUCAAAAAUAAAAUCACCUUAAAUUCUAGAUUGAGUAGACUUUGUACUUGGCUUUGCUAUUUUAUGUGAAAAGAGAGAGAAAAGCUGAAGACGAAUAGUUUAGAUAUGGAUAUGGAAACCCAAGAUUGAACUAUGUUUUUUUUGAACUUUACAGUAAUAGAACCCCAAAUGUUUUUUAUUGUUGUCAUAACUUAUAUUGUACAGAUCGAACCAACAUUUCAUCCAGUAAACGCAAAAGUUCCAACAUUUUAUUCAAAAAAGCCGAUACCAAAUAUUAUAAAAUCCCAGACUAUAAUAAAAAUGUUUUACAUGAUUUUAUAAUUUCCAAGUUAUUAAUCCAAAUUUUAUUUUUUAUCUUUUAAUUUAUUGGUCAACCCCAAUUUUAUUAUUUUUAUUAAAUUAUUUAGAGCUCCAGAAUCUUUUUUUUUUUGUUUUUGUAUGACUAACCUUUCUUAGAAUUUAGAAAGUUAAGUUGGGUCUAAAUUGUAAUCGAUGAUAAAUGCCUUAACAGUCCGGUUGUUUUUAGUGGGUAAAAUCAGCCCGGUUCGUUUUGGUUUUGAAUUUUGAAGAAAGUUAUAAAGCAAAAUUGUAUAUUUUUGUUUUGGUUCGAAUUGGUCUGAAGAUUCUGUCUGGUUUUGGUCUGAAAACAAAACAACAAAACUUUUCUGCAUGUUACAUCGGACUCUUCUCUGUCCGAGACGCCUCAAAUUCCUACUAUCAUCUACCAAACACAACCGUCACAUCACUCAGAUCCACGCUCUCGUAAUCACCAAUGGUGACUUACUUCAUGGAAGCUUCAUCGCUCGCGACCUCGUCGCGUCCUGGGUACGAAUCGGCGAGAUCUCGCACGCCCGCAAGGUGUUCGACCAAUUGCCUCACAGAAACGUAUCUCUUUACAACUCCAUGGUCGUGGCGUAUUCCCGCGGAAACAAACCAAACGAGGUUCUGCGCCUUUACGAUGAGAUGAUAGACGAAGGUGUCCGACCAGAUAGCUCUACCUUCACCAUGACAAUCAAGGCGUGCUUAAACGCUAUGGUGUUGGAGAAAGGAGAGGCAGUGUGGUGUAAAGCUAUAGAAUGUGGGUACCAAAACGACGUCUUUGUUUGUUCAUCUGUGUUGAAUCUCUACAUGAAGUGCGGGAAGAUUGAUGAAGCUGAAGCUCUGUUUCGAAAGAUGACGAGAAGGGAUGUUAUCUGUUGGACAACGAUGGUGACAGGUUUUGCACAAGCUGGUGAGUCUUUGAAGGCGGUUGAGUUCUACAGAGGGAUGCAAAGGGAAGGGUUUGGUAGAGAUGGGGUCGUGAUGAUUGGUCUAUUACAAGCUUCUGCUGAUCUUGGAGAUCAGAGAAUGGGUUGCUCUGUGCAUGGCUAUUUGAUCAGGACAGGUCUUCCUAUGAACGUUGUGGUUGAAACCACGUUGGUUGAUAUGUAUGUAAAGGUUGGGUUUAUAGAGCUUGCUUCAAGGGUGUUUAGUGGGAUGAUGUUUAAAACUGUUGUCUCGUGGGGUUCGUUGAUCUCUGGGUUUGCUCAAAAUGGGUUAGCUGAUAAAGCCUUUGAAGCGGUGGUAGAGAUGCAGAGACUUGGGUUUCAACCGGAUCUUGUGGCUCUUGUUGGAGUACUAUUGGCUUGUUCUCAAGUCGGGUCGUUAAAGACUGGUCGAUCCAUACAUUGUUACAUCUUGAAAAGGCACUUUCUUGACAGAGUAAGUGCUACUGCUUUGAUGGACAUGUACUCAAAAUGCGGCGUUAUCGCAAGCUCGAGAGAAAUCUUUGAUCGGACAAGAGGGAAAGACUUGGUUUGUUGGAACGCGAUGAUAUCUUGUUACGGAAUCCAUGGAGACGGUGAAGAAGUUGUGUCCAUGUUCGUGAAAAUGACGGAAUUAGACAUUGAACCCGACCACGCCACGUUUGCGUCUCUUCUCUCUGCUUUUAGCCACUUAGGUCUAGUGGAACAAGGCCAGCAUUGGUUCAGGUCCAUGAGAGAGAGAUACAGUAUCCAACCGAGCGAGAAGCACUACGUUUGUUUGAUUGAUCUUCUUGCACGUUCAGGGAGAGUGGAAGAAGCUCUUGACAUGAUAAACUCUGACAAACUUGAUAACGCUUUACCCGUUUGGGUUGCUCUUCUCUCAGGAUGCAUUAACCAUAGGAAUCUAUCAGUUGGUGAGACAGCUGCUAAUAGGAUUCUAGAGUUGAAUCUGGAUAACAGUGGAAUCCAGACGCUGGUUUGUAACUUCUUUGCUACUGCGAAAAAGUGGAAGGAAGUGGCUAAAGUGAGGAAGUUGAUGAGAAGUGGGGCCAUGGAGAAAGUGCCAGGGUACAGUGUGAUCGAGGUGAAUGGACAGCUUAGGACUUUUGUCAUGGAGGAUCUGAGCCAUCAUGAGCAUCAUCACAUGUUGCAAGUGUUGAGGGACUUGAGUUCUGAGAUGAGAGAUGUAUAUAAUACAUGUACAUCCAUUUCUGAAUGUGUUAUUUGAUCUAAUUGUGUUCUCUCAUAGUCCAUAUUGUUUGCUAACCUAGUAAAGAAGAAGAGGAUGAGAAACAAAGACUCCACCAGCUGAUGCAGAACACUUUAUUUAUUAAUUUUUUUAAAAAUAAAACAUUAUUAUUUUGAAAGAAUAAAACAUUAUUCCGGGACAAUUGCAUUCAACAAACAAACUAAGCCUAAUAAGAAUUUUUUGCGUCACUGAUGGUCACCUCUUCUUCUUGAGAGUUAGUAAAAGGAACCAGGUUUUAUGGAUUUCUUUGUUAAGAUAUAAAUAAUCAAAUCCAAGAAUUUUUUUCCAAAUUUGUAAUAACAACUAUACAUGGUAGAUCUGAAAAUUUGUAUGAUUUAUUUUUUGUUAAAUAUUAGUUUUAAAAUAAAUUAAAAUAUAUAGACUAAUAACACUCAUUGAGAACUGGCAGAAUACAUUCCACUCUCUUAUUGCAACAUUUUUUUUGUUGCAUUCAUUAAAUUAGGUACGUUCGUAGCGUCCUCUCGCUGAAUAAGUAAACCAAACUAUAAUAGAGACCAAACCGGGACAAUCGUCUUAUAUAUUUACUGACAUGAAACACCAGGAGAAGAAGACAUCGAGCGGUUCUUCAGCUUUUGUAAACUAACGGUCUUUCCUUUGAGAAGAGCAGAAUACCAAAGCGCAGAGGUUUUCAGAGAUCUUUCACGUUUUGGAUCGCUGAAAUUCACAUAGUACAAUCCAUAUGUGUAAUUGGGAUUGAUAAACUCGAACAUAUCCAUGAACGACCACUGGAAAUAGCCUCUUAUAUCUGACCCAUUCCUACAUAAUAAAUCUUGUAACGUUUUAGUAUUACGAUCUAAGAGACAAGUCCUACUUUUCAAAGAGAAUAUUAUAGUGCACACCUCACUGAAUUGAGCACAGCAGCAAUAUACGCAUGAAGGUAAUCAACUCUUCCCACGUCGUUAAGCGAUGAAUGUUGGUUAGUUGGUUGACCUAAUGUGUAUUUACAUAGAAACUCUCAAUAUUUUGUAAUGUUUUUUUGUUUGUUUUUGAUAACCCGGGGUAUCCGGCAGGCGGCAGGCAGAGACCCAACCGACUAGUCCUCUAGGGGUUGAUGCCAAUGUUUUGUAAUGUUUUGAAACUAAGUAAGGAACAAGUGAGAGAGACAAAUUAAUACCAUUCUCAAGAAUGUAGACCGGAAGAUUGCCAUAGUUCUUCUCUAUGUAUUCCAACACUCCUUCAAGACCCCAUGGAAGCACAUCAAACUGUAGAUAUAUGACGAUUAAUGAAAUAGAGUUAGGGUUUACGAAAAGGUGCUUCUGACAUUGGCAGUCUUUGGAAACACACCUUGAACAGUGUAGAGUUCCCAAUGGCUGUCCAAAAAAAAAAUCAGCUAUAGAAUAUGGUAUAGUGCUGGGUUUCCGGGUCAACCCGCCCCGACCCGCCCCGCCCCGCUGCGGGUUGAAUCACUUUUUUGAUUCAAAAAAUCGACCCGCAUAACUCACAAACAAAAAAAUUUCUAUCCGCACCCGCCCCGCAAAAACCCGCGGGUAACCCGCUUAACCCGCGGGUAAUAUUAAUUAUAUUAAAAAUAAUUAUUAUAUAGUUAAAAAAUAUUAUUUUAAAAAAAUUAUAUUAAAAUAAUAUAUUAAUAAUUAAAAUUAUAUAAAUAUUUACGAGAUUUAAUAUAUUUUUUAUAAAAAAAAAACAUUUAAAAAAAAAAAAAAUCUUUUUUUCUUAAAUUUGCGGGUUAACGAGUACCCGCGACUCAAAUUCGACUGACCCGCACCCGCUCCGCUUAAAAUAAUCUUGACCCGCACCCGCACCCGCCAUUGCAAAUUUUCAAAUUCUUCGACCCGCACCCGCCCCGCAGCGGAUCAAAUGGGGCGGGGCCGCGGGCAUUAAUUAAAAUUCCCAGCUCUAAUAUGGUAUGGUAGAUAUAAACACACACACACAUCCCAUGAAAGAAAAGCAUACGUAGUAGUGAAGCAUUCAUGUCUGAAUCAAAAUCUCCUGCAUGGACACUAGUAGAUAACUGUGCCGUGUAGAGUGUUGUAUAGUGAAUGAGUCCCAAGAAGUCAGAUGAGCCUUUAACGAGUUCUGAUUCUUCUUUCGAAAAGCUUGGUAACCUCUCGCCCACAGUUCUCUUCAUCACAUCAGGAUAGUCCCCAAACACCAGCGGGUGCAAAACCCUAGGAUUCAGAGAUUAAAAUGUUCUAGCUCUCAGAGCUGAUCUGAGAUUUCGAAGGCUAUAAAAAAUUCUAUAAGAAUUUCAAUAAUUAUUUUUUUGUAAUUUAGGGGUCUAUUCCUACAUAAAAAAAACUUCAAAAGUUUUGGAAGCCAAUGCUAAUGUUUCAUGUGGCUAGGGAUGAAUAUGAUAUUUAAACGAAAAUUUUAGAUAUGAAUUGUGUGUUCAACGAACCAGGCUAAGUAGAAAGCUUUGUCUCUUUGAGUUGCGAUCUUGUCCUCUACAGAACUAGUAUAGGGAACCAUCCAGUAUGCAAAUAAAGUUAUACCUACAGAUCCAUGCUGCUUAUCCUACACCAUCUCACGAGAGAAGCAUAGAGGUAAACCAAGCAUUCAAAUGAUUAUGGAUAUAUGUGUGUAAGCUUAUACCUUGUACGUUUGCUUAUACAGUCUCGCAGUAGAUGCGUGUGCAAGCAACAUGUUAUGGAGUGCAAUAUAUGGCUCAGUUGAAGAGUUUCCUCUGGAGCAAUUGCCUAUCCCAAAUGGAGGAGAACAAUGCAUAGGAGGGGUAAUUAACGCCCAAGUCAUAACCUCCCCAAGCUAGCAUAUUGGGCUCGUUAAUAGUCCACCAGGAUUUCACUUUGCUGCCAAACUCUCUGAAGCAAACGUCUGCAAAAGCCGUGAAGUCAUUGCUGCCACAAAAGAUCGUAUAAGAUGACAUACAUCACACACUUCACUCAUAGAGUCAUUGCAAGAAAAUGUUUGGCUUUACAUGAUUUUUUGGUCAAUCCAUCCUCCGUAUUCAUCUUCAAGAGCCUGAGGGAGAUCAUUGUGAUACAAAGUAACAUGCGUUUCAAUUCCUGUACUCACCCAUUCAUACCAAACAGACUAAUUCAUCUUCUUUCCAAGACACAGGACAUAAUCAAACCAAAUGAGAAUCAUAAAUUUAUUCUUACCAUAUCUCAUGAGCUCAUCUAUGAGAUUUUUGUAAAAGCGUAAGCCCUUUGGAUUUACAGGACCUCUUCCACCUGAAAAACCGAAAAGGCCUUUAAAACUCAAGACAAGGUGACAAAACCCGAGUUAUGGCAAAUAAACACACACACACACUCGGUAUAAGCCGCGGCCACGAGAUAGAGAGUCGGAAUGCAUCUAAACGCAUGUUAUACAUCAGCCUUACGUCCUCCUGCAGCAUUGUCACAUUUUCAACAUGUUAUAUUUUUUAUAGAUAGCUGAUUUAUUAUGAAAGUGAUCAAAUUUGGAUCACUAGGCCAACCUUAUAUUUAUGAUACCCAUCACAUGCUAUAUCUCCGGUAGGUCCAUCACCUGCAAUCGUUAUAAACAUUGAUUGUUAUUAAACCCUAGAUAAACUCAUUAAGUGUUUUAACUCUUUAAGUGUUUAGUGAAUUAGAACUUAAUUACUAGAGUGAACGUAUGUAUCCCAAAUGCUAGGCAUUCUUCCAUCUUCAUCAACAGCUCCUUCCCACUUUUUGAGAGUUCAAAACCAUUUUCAGAUUAUCAAAAUCCAUAUGAGUUCGAGUUAAAGAAAAACUUAGUUCGAAUUCCAAACCUGAAAAGCAGAAACGGCUGAUCCGAAGACGAAGCCCUUCGGGAAGUCGUUCCUGCUGUAAACAUCGCUGCAUCUUCCGGAGAACGCAAAACUCAAGAAAACCAAAAUCAAAAACAAAAUCUGUUCCAUCUCUUCUAGGGGGCGGUGUACACGAGGGAGAAGAUAAAUAAUACUAUUCUAGUUAUGUGCCUUUUCGUAUCUUUCUUUUUGUUGAAGAAAGUACAAAUGGCAAAACAUAACGAUUGUGUUACAAACAAAAAAAAAAGGCAAAACAUAACAAAAGUUAGUAAUGUGCGAGAAGUUUACCUUAUUUAUGCAAGAUACCCGAAUAUGUUCAGGAAUUAGAAUGUUCCUUUUCUGUCUGCUUCCAUUCUUAACCAAUAGCCACUAUAUAAAUACAUGUGUUUUUUUUUUGUUCAAAAAAUACAUGUGUUUUUUUAAAUUUAUUUCUAUAGCACUUAUUUUCAACCAGCCUCCAGUACUGCUCCACUUGUGUGAGUUAGAAUAGUCAAGCUAGUGUGGUCAACAAAAGACUUACUAGGGCAAUCAACGCUACUCAUCUUCCAUCAAAUUCUUCUAAACGUAAUUAAUAACUUGUUGGUGUUAAACAAAAGAAAAUUAAAAAAAAAUACCUGGUGUCAUAUUUAUUCUGUUUAUUUUCGUAGACAUUUUUGUUAAAACAUAUUAUUCAAAUUAUGAAACUAAAUUAGCCGAUCGACGUAUUUCCCCCUCCGUUAUUUUUUUAUUUCUUUGUGAAAAAAAACAGUCUCUCUUUCAGUAUGUUUUCGUUUUCUCAAAUCCAGCAUCUUAUUUUUUCUCCAAGAAAAUUCAUUACUUAACUAUGUGACACUUGUGUGGUGGUCACUAGUUAUUAACUAAAAGAAAAGGACCAAAAAAACUUGUGUGGAAUAUGGUGGACUGAGACCACGUGUAGUUUAUAACUACAAGCGCAUAAAGGAAGCUGAGUUUUAUGUCGGCAAUGUAAUUCACUACAGAUUUUGGUUUUCGGAAUUUUUUAUUACAAUGUAAAAAAAAAGGAACUUUUUAUUACAAAAAAUUAAAACAAAUAAAAGAAUGUUUUAUUAAUAUAUAUCUGUUUAAUUUUAUUACUAAUUUACUAUAAAUCUUGACAAUCAUGGUUCUUUAGAAAAAUUUUAUUGUGUCAAAAUUGUAAUUUUUCUACGAUUUUGCCAUAUUUUAUUUCUUACUACGAGUUAACUUUUUUUUUUGAAACACACUUAUAUUAAAUCUUCAAACAAAAGUAGAUGGCGCCAUUAAAAUCAGUUCAACAGAAAAAAUCUGUUUUGCUAGCUUAUGAGCUUCUACAUUUUUUUCUCUAGAGAUUCAACUAAAAAAAAUACAUUCAAAAAAAGCAGCUAAAGAUAAGAUAACGGCCGUAAUCCUAUAGAAGCAUGAAGAUUUUGAUUUGAGCGCCUUGACUAGAAUGGCAAAAUCCGAUUCACAUCUGAUUCUUGCUAGUCCUAGUUCGCGACACUUCUCGACGACUGCUCGCAAAACCAGUACCUCCGCCGCCUGAGGGGAUCUCAUAUGGUGAGCAGGAACAGAGUGUGAGGAUCGUCCAUUUUGUGGAAAUUUUGCGCUACUACUUUCCAUCCCAAACCUGCAAGCUUUAAAGACUCAUUCCAAGCAUCAUCAAUUUUGAUCAGAGCAUGUGGUUGGAACCAUCUGGGUACUAGAAGUCGGUCCCAUUCCAAGUUGGCAUGAGCCCCAUUCUCGAGCAGUAGUAAUAUGUUUAUCGCUGAAGACAAGGUUAUUUCUCGCAGUCCAUAUGUACUACAGAAUCCAGGGCGCCAGUUGUCCCUCAGUCACUUCGGUUGAUGGUAGAUUCGUCUUUGAGAUUAGGCUGAUCCAUAGACUUCUUGAAUCUAUAGAUUCAUUGUAUUACAAGUUAACCACAAAUUAUUUUUUUCAGGCAUUUCGUGACAAACCGAUUAGCUAUAAAAAUUAGUUUAUAGGCAAAAAAGUAAACCGUAGCUAUCUAGAUUUUUUUUAUUAGCGACAGUUAAUCAUUUUCAAACGACAUGGCUAGAAUUGCAAACAUUUUUAAAACGAAUCAAUUUUAUUAGAAAGAAAGUACAAAACAUUUGAAAAAAUCAGUUAAAACUGUAAAACUUAUUAUAGAUCGUUUAUGCAUCAUCAUUUAUCUCUAUUUACACAGAAUAAAAAAGAAAUCUACCAGUGUUUCAAAAAAAAAAAACUACCAAUUUCUGGGACUGCUAUUAUCACCAUCAAAUUUUAGACCCACAGCUGAUCCAAAAUCGUAAAGACAAAAGAAAAUUAAUUACAUCUUUAACAAGAAACAUUAUCACAUGGCCAUCAAAUCUAGCCGCCACUAACGGUAACGGCGUUGAGUGUUUUUCACACAAAAAAACUAUUUGACAGGAAAAAAUAUAUUCUUCUCAUCUAAAAUAAUUAGAAAUAGAGGCAAAGACAGAUAAGUGAAAAGUCAAGCAUCACUAGUCAACGUUUGAUAAACCUCUUCUCUUUCUUCUUCUCCUUCGUUUCUCCUCCUUCUCACAUAUCUCUCUUUCUUCGUAAAGGUACCUCUUUCGCAAUCUCUCUGGACUAGCUUCUCUCAUGGCAGUAAGUCUCUUGAAACUACGAUCUAUGUAAUUAUUAAUCAACUCCGAUUUGCUAGAUAAGAAAAAUAGGAGUUUCCAUAUCUGUACUGACAAGGAAACUGCAAAGAGAUCUUGUCUUGUUGCUAUCUUGUUCUGUAAUGGUCGUUAUUCCGAUUCUACCCUUUUGUUUGUUGAGCUGAUUUGAAUUGUUUUAUUUUCAUUAUUAUUGCUGCAAAGGAGCGUUCGAAUGUUCCCAAGUUUGGAAACUGGGAAGGUGAGGAGAAUGUUCCUUACACAGCCUACUUUGAGAAAGCGCGUAAAGGACGCGCUCCAGGCGGUAGAGUGACGAACCCGAACGACCCGGAAUAUAACUCGGAUUCGCAGUCUCAAGCUCCUUCGAGAACCAGACCCGAGGAAGUUGACCCGGUUAGAAAGUCGCGUGAAGUGACGAGAAGCCGAGAAGAGAGCGAGUUGAAGCAGUUUGGUGGUGGUGGUGGUGAUGGUAGUGGUUCAUCAAACGAGAAAAGACAAGGAAGGUCUUCUCAGAACAAUAGCUACGAUAAGUCUCCGUUGCAUAAGAAUUCAUAUGAUGGCACUGGAAGAACAAAGCCCAAACCAAACCUUAGAGCUGACGAAAGCGUAAGAUCUUACUUCUGUUUGCUGCUUUUGUCUUCCAUAGUUAUUUGUCUAAUUAUCUAAGGUUUCUAUUAGGGUUAAAGCAUCGCAUAUCAAAAAUUUAAGAGACCAAUCCAUUUAUAACUAAUUGGUUUUAAGUCAAAGUUAAUAAUAAACCUGAAUUUAACAUUGUAUUAGAGCAUAUAUCAUAAACACCAUAAACUUCUACGUAAUUAAUAUAUCCCUCUCGACCUGAGUAUAAUUGUCGUUUUUAAUCCUCUCGACCGGGUAUAAGUAUCUUAAGUUCCGAGAUUUUUGUCCAAUAAAAACCAUCGAGAGAGGAUUAAAGAUGAAAUAUCCAUAUCAAAAAUUUAGGAAUUAAGACUAAUCCACUUAUAACUAAAUGGUUUUAAUUUGGAAGUCCAUAAUACAUCCGGAUUUAACAGUUUCAAAAUGUUUUUACAGCCUGAAAAAGUGACGGUGGUGCCAAAAUUCGGUGAUUGGGAUGAGAAUAAUCCGGCGUCAGCUGAUGGAUACACACACAUUUUCAACAAAGUCCGUGAAGAGAGAAGCACUGGAGCUAAUAAUGUGAGUGGAUCUUCAAGAACGCCAACUCACCCGAACUCCCGUAAUAGCCCUUCCAGCAGUUCCAAAGUAAGAUACUCCCUCCUUCAAGCUCGUUGCUUCUCAUUGAUACAUAUUUUUUGUAUAUUCGUUAUUGUUUUUUUUUUCUGUAAUUGACAGUGUUGCUGCUUUGGCUUUGGAGGAAAAUGAAUGGGAAAACGUGUUUGUUUCGGAACAAUGUGUGUGUAUAGUUAUCGAGAAAUAUGUGUGAUGUAAUCUUAAUGAUCAAACGGUCGAGUAACUUUAGAUGGAAUAAGGCAUAUCAGUCACACUUGCAUAAAACUUAUACUAUAUCUUCUUUAUGUAUGUUUUGUGAUUUUUCAUUUUACUUUUGGUGUUUUCGUUCUACACAUUCCAGUUUUGGACCUGCUAGCAGAUCAUUUCAUCUUGGUACGGGCUCACCAAUUUGGUUAACCGAUUUAGCUGGAGACAGAGAAGAAAAAAGCAAUUCAUAUAAUUAUGUUCAUGAACCGAGUAAAUUAAUUAACAUAUCUAUAUUUGAAGUGUUUGGAGUCUUGUAGACUGGAGUAUUCUUAUUCUGAUGGCAAUCAUGAUCCGCCACUGGAGUAUUUCCAUAAUGCUCUGUAGCUUUUUGUGCUUAUCAAAUAUGUGUUUGAAGUAUCUUUGUUUAUAAACUUUUUGGGGAGACAAACCUUGGAACAUCUUGAUCCCAGGCUGAUUUUUUUUUGUUCCCUUUUCCUUCAAUCUUGCAGAACUUGGAUCAUCUUCCACCUUAAUGAAGUACCUACUGUACUUGAAGGUUUCUUUCUACUGAAUACUGAUCAUAACUAACUGGUAAAACAUUAAGAAGUAACAAUAUAUGUACUUCCAAUGGCAUUUCAAUACUAAGAGUGGAGUAAAAAAAGAGGUGAAAAACAGCUGAAAAUAAAAUGAUUGAAAAGAAGAAUGAGAAAAGAUGUAACCUAGUCGAUGACUUAUACUCUGUUUCUGUUUCUGUUUGUAAACUGUUAGGGAUCUAGUCUACUUAUCGAUGUAACUUAGUCGCUUCUGUUUCUCCGGAUAACCGGAAACCCCGUACCGAUUUGCCUUUCUGGGUUGAAAUCAAUAUAUAUAUUAGAAAAAAAGAAGAAAAAUAGAGUAAUUAGUGUUAUUCUAACAAAAUUUCGAGUAAAAAUAAGUGUUAUUUCUCUGUCAAAACAGUAACAAGAGUAAAGAUGAAAGAGAUAACUUGGCUGAGUUGAUAAUCCCCGUUCACCUCAGCUUUUUUCUUUCCAAUUAGUAAAAAUGAUUCUUUUCUUGGUUUGCGUGGCUCAGAUUGAAGCAAAUAAAGUUAAGUCAAAAUUUUAAAUUUGCAACAAAUUAAAAACUUAACUCACUUAAAAAAAGAAGAAAUGAUUAAGUUGGAUGGAGAUUAUAUUUAGGUAAGGGCAUAUAACAUAUUAGUCUUUACAUUCUAAAAAACUACCUCUAGAAAUGUAUCUAGAUUGUAAUAAAAUUCUUCUGAAUUGACCCAAAAUGUAAAACAAAUUAGAAUUUAAUAUUAGGAAGGCUUGGGUCCAUACAGAGGCUAACACCAAUUAGAAUUUAAAUCAAAUUAGAAAAAAUCAUAUAAACAAAACAUUAAUUUAAGAAUCAUGAAUAAAAAAAAACAAAAAUGUAUGACACAGACAGUUGGUUAAUUGUAUUUGCUUCUUUGACUUGUCGGAAGUGUCUGAAAAAAAAAGAAAAGAAUGGACGUUAACUUUCAACGGACGGUCCAGAUCACUCCCACUCCGUAGAUGCGAUCCACAAAGAAUCCUUCCCUCCUUCAGCGCCAACGUCAAUAUUUUGGCGGUCGAUCAAAAAACAUUUCGAAAUUUAAAGAUUUUAACCCCCAAAACUUUUCAAACCAUUUCAAUCCCUGACGAAAUAUACACCUCAACCAGAUCUUCAUCUUCCUCACACAUUCUCUCUCUCCUCUCUCUCUCCAUCUUUGUUCAUUUUGCUUGUUGUGAUUCGCUCCAGAGACAACUCGAAUCUCAGUUACUUUGUCUGUGUUUCUUCUCUCUCUCUCUCUCAAUCCCUCAGAGAAAAUUAGGGUUCGAUUUAGGGCUUUUCUCUACACAAUCCGAAUCCAAUUUCUGUGCGAAACCCAGUUUCACUGAUAUGGUGAGGAUCCAGAAAGUAGAAUCCUUUUACGCCAAGCUCCGCGAAUCAGCCACUUCCUCCGAUUCACACAACCCUCUUCUGAUAUUCCCUUCCUCAUCCGACGUCGACUCGAUCUGCGCCCUCAAGGUCAUCACUCACAUCCUCGAAUCCGAUUCGAUUCAGUACUCUUGUUUCCCCGUCUCGUCGUUUCUCGAGAUCCACAAGUACGCAGGUCCUGGGCUCUGUUCUUCCUUGGAGAGUCCUGUGACUAUACUUUUGAUUAAUUGGGGUUGUCACCGUGAUUUGAAGCUUGUUCUUAAGCUAGGUCCUAAGGCUCGUGUCUUUGUGGUGGAUAGUCAUAGGCCUAUUCAUUUGCAUAACCUGAGCGAUGGUAAUGAGAGGGUUGUUGUUCUUCAUACUGAUGAUGAUGAGAGGCAAGCGGAUUUAGCUUAUGAUUUUGAUGUCUUGAAGUUGGCUAAUGAGAGUUAUCAGAUGCGUCAAGAAAGUGUUGGUGUUGAUGAAAGUGAAGACGAGGAUGAAGAAGAGGAGGAGGAGGAGGAAGAGAGUGAUGAUGGUGAUAGGCCAAGUAAGAGGAGGAAGAUGGGUGAUGAUGGUGUGAAGCUUUUUAAGAAGCUAAAGAGAGAUUACUACAAGAUGGGGACUUUCCACGGGAAGCCAUCUGGUUGCUUGCUCUUUGAGCUGUCUCAUUUUUUAAGGAAGAACACUAACGAGUUGCUCUGGCUGGCUUGCGUUUCCUUGACUGAUCAGUUCGUUCACGAGAGGCUAACCGACGAGAGAUACCAAGCCGCGGUGAUGGAGCUCGAGCAGCACAUCAACAGCUCCGGGAACAUAGAUAAAGUCACGUCCGUUACUUUAAAAGACGGAACCAAGGUUCGAGCGCCAGACUGUUCGAGAAUCUCUUACGAAGAGGAGCCUAGGCUUAUGCUCCUGAGAGAGUGGAACUUGUUUGACUCCAUGCUCUGCUCCUCGUACAUAGCGACGAAGCUCAAGACUUGGAGUGAUAACGGGAUCAAGAAGCUGAAGCUUCUUCUAGCGCGUAUGGGGUUCGCGCUCAUCGAGUGCCAGCAGAAGUUUCCCUACAUGAACAACGAGGUGAAGAGGAAAAUGAAGCAAGAGUUUGAUCGGUUUUUGCCUGAGUAUGGUUUAAAUGAUUUCUACUACAGGAGUUUCUUGCGGCUUCAUGGAUACAGCUCAAGGGUCUCUGCUGCUGAUGUUGUGUACGGUAUCACAGCGCUUCUUGAGUCGUUUCUUGGUUCAGGUGGCUCUUCUGCUUCACAGCAGUUUGGAGAAGCUUAUGAUGCUUUGUCGUUGAACAAUCUUGAUAAGCUUCGGUCCGGGAUGCAGCAAGCAAUCAAGGUUCAAAGAGCGAUUCUCAGACAAGGAAGUGCAGCAAUCACCAAGACAGGAUGCAUCAGAAGUGGAAGGAAGUUCAGAUGGGUGAAGGUUGAGGAUUCUAUUGACGCUAAGUAUUUGGGAUAUCCUCAGGCUUUGACAAAGUUUUGUUACUUUCUGAUGGAUGCUUUGAGGGAGAAAGGAGCUAGGAUGAAACCGAUGCUAUGUGCCUGCGCAUCUCAAGAGCUAGGGAAGAUACUUGUGGUUGGAGUUUGUGGGAAGCCGAGGCUUGGUGCGGUAAGAGGGAAUGCGUUUGGUAAUGCUUUUAGAAAAGCAGCUCAAGAGAGUAGAGCCGAUUACUUUCAUGAGCUGUUUGAGUCUUCGUGGAUCGUCUUAGAUGCUUCUGCUGUUAACUCUUUCAUGAUUAGAUUAACUGAGAACCUUUGACAUAUGACUCUCAACUCUCAAGGUAUCUUUUUGUUAUUCAACUCAGAGUGUUUUUCUUUUACCAGUUUACAGUUUAUUUAUCUCACAUUGUUUGGAAAUUUACGAGAGUUUGUAAUAGGCAGAAUCUGUUAUCAAUCAUGUAACUUGUUUAAUCAAAUAACCAAAGGGGUUUAUGUUGAAAUUUGAUUCGUAUGGUGUUACUAAAAAAUGAGACAACCUUAGAAACUUGAGAAAAAUGGCUUAGAGAUUGUCUAUCUGGAGGGGCUUCUUUCUCCACAGGGUUGUCCCGCGGUUUAUCUCCUGACCAUAUCCAGACAACCUUAGGAGAUGUAAGAACUGGCUAUCGCUUGCCCCCUGUGUACCUGAUGUUGCAGAGCUAUUGGUCCCACCAAUCUCUGAGGUCGUGGUGGUGAGUGAGUCCAGAGUAAUGACCUGAAGUUCGUGGGUGUCUACCAUAUCUUGAGAAAUGCUCUGCCGUUAACAGGAAACAAAUUCAUACGAUUACUACUGAAAACCUAGUGAUAUUUAGUAAGAAACAAAAUCAUACGAUUACUUUAUAUAGUAAGAAGAUUUGUUGUUAAAAAAAAAUAGUAAGAAGACUAAGUUUUAAUUUAAUUUAAGAAAAUAGCUUUCCCUACAAAUUAUAUAUUAUUGCUACUGUUGAUUUUUAUUUUCAUAUAUGUGGGCAAUGUCAACUUGAAUGACCUAAGUAUUCUCAAUCCCUGCAAAAAAUAAAAAUAAGUAUUUUUUUUUCAAAUAUAAUCUACCGAUUUCAUCGACUUUGUUGAAUUGGCCACACCAUACGUUUUUAAUCUGUUUGGGUUUUUACCUCGUAAGUUAACAUAAAAGAUCUAUUUUUAGUGUGUGUUCAGUAUAUAUAUGAUGUGUAUGGACAACGAAAAAAAACACAUUCUUUUCACGAGAUUGAUAAAGAAUAACAUAAAGUUUUACACAUAACAAAAACAAUCUUUUUAUCAAAUUCUUAAAUCAUGAAGUAUGCUAUUUCAGUUGUUCUGUUGUGCGUUCUCAUAUCUCACGUUUCGAACAUUGUCAAAGGUAAUAUAUUAUUUAUUAUUUUCAUUUGAUUCUAUAUCUGAAAAUUGUGAAAUUAUUGAUUAUUCCUAUAAACAUAGUUGGCGUUGAACAAAAAAAGCAAAUUACAAUUUGAUUAUCUUUUUUUUUUAAAAGAACAAUCUGAUUAUCUUAUCAAUCAUUGUUUAGCCAAUGAUUUUAUCAAAUAUUAACUUUAUUUUGUUUAUUUUUGUUGGUCUCGGGAAAAUUAUUAAAGUGAAUGGGCUCGACCCUUUGUGUAAAUGGUAUCGUCGAGUUCCUGGAAAAUGCAGCCCUGAUGGAAACAAGAAGUGCCAUGUCGAAGUACAGCGACCACGAGACCGAGCAAAUCAAAAAUUUGAGCGUUGCGAGUGUACAAACAUAAUUGUUCAGAAGAAAGACCAUCAUGACUGCAAUUGUUUUGUUAAGCCUCCUUGUCGUUAAACCUAAAGACAACAAGACUGCUUUUGUUAUACAAAACCUCUUUGUCCAUAAUACACUAUUACAAAUAAAAUAGAUUUACCAAUAAAUAAGAGAGGUGAGUUUUUAUGCUUAUAUAUAGUUGAAAAUAUAUUGUCAGUCUAUAUUAUUCUAAAUGUAUAUUUUUACUAUAGGAACUAGUAAAUUUAUGAAUUAAUUAUUAAAAAUAUUUGUAUUGCAGAAAGAUAUUUUUCAGUUUAUCUAAUAUUUUUAUAUCAUCUUUCCAUUCCGUUGAAGUUUGUAUAAUCCAUUUAAUAAUAUUUCAAAAACAGAUAUUACAAAACAAAUAAAGAUUAUAAAAAAUAAAAGCGAUAUGAAAAUAUAUUAUAAUAAAGUUGUUUUUUCUCCCUUCUUAGAUAGCCAGCCAACUCAACAAAAAAUAUGCUAAAUUUUGAUAUAUGCUAUAAAUUUUUAAAAUUUUUAAAAUUGUCUUAUAUUAUUCAUCUUCUUAAUGUUUAGAUCAAAUUUAUUAACAAAACAUUUAAUAACCAAUAAAUACUUUACAAAUUAAUACUCUAUUGGGAAAUCCCUUUUCUUAAUACCCCUAUUCUCCCUUCAUCCGGAGCUGCCGUAACUUGGGCUCAUCAUGCUAUACUCGCGGGGAAGGAAAAACGAGCAGUUUAUGCUUUAGUAGCUACCGUUUUACUGGCUCUAGUAUUUACUGGCUUUCAAGGAAUGGAAUAUUAUCAAGCACCCUUCACUAUUUCGGAUAGUAUUUAUGGUUCUACCUUUUUCUUAGCAACAGGCUUUCAUGGUUUUCAUGUGAUUAUAGGUACUCUUUUCUUGAUUAUAUGUGGUAUUCGGCAACCAGCCAACCCAUAUUACUUACUAACGGUUGAACACAACACUUACUUUGGCCAGGUUCUUCCAUCUCCUUCGGAUCCUGUAACUCUCUCCUUCUCCUCAAAUGAGAGCAUUUGAGACUUCUCCUCAUCAACUAGUUAAUGAGACUUCUUGUGCUGAAAAAGAUCAUUUCAUUGACCUACGGCACGGAAGGAA
rnacentral:lncRNA from 1 species